AAAUGCCGGUGCAGAUGGGACGAUUGACUUGUCUUCAAACUCUAGAGUUCUUUAAUGUAAGUCAAGAGAAGGGUUGUGGCAUCGAAGAGCUUGGGACCUUGAAAUAUCUUAGAGGAUCAUUGGAGAUAAGAAAUCUUGGACUAGUAGAGGGCAAAGAAGCAGCUAAACAAGCAAAAUUGUUUGAAAAGCCAAAUCUGUCUAGCUUAAGGUUGGACUUUGAACGGAAAAGUGAUAACUGUGAUGAGGAUGUGUUGGAAGGUCUCCAACCUCACCCAAAUUUGCAAAAGUUGGAAAUUCGAUAUUGCAUGGGUAAUAAAAUUCCCCAAUGGCUUAUCAAUUUGCCAAAAUUGGUGGAGUUGCGGAUAGAAGAUUGCCAGAGAUGCAGUGAACUCCCGUCAUUAGGACAACUGCCAUCCCUCAAACGCCUCUAUUUGAGAAGCUUGGACAACAUCCGAUCUAUUGGAGAUGAAUUCUAUGGUAUUAAUACUAAUGAGGAGGAGGAGGAGGGCAGAUCACGAGCAUCAGGGAGCAGCACUAGAACACGAAAUUCUUUCCGGCCCUUGAAGAACUCUAUGUACGAGAUAUGAGGAAUUUGGUAGAUUGGAAGGAUGCAGACCAAGUGAGGUCAACAACAGGUGAAGUAGAAACAGAUGUCUUUCCCAUGCUGAGGAAUUUUCACAUUCAACAUUGCCCACAACUGACCAAUCUUGCAUGCUCGUGUAAAAUUCUAGUCGUGGAGUAUUACGGCAAUCUAACAAGUAUAAAAAUGGGUUACGACACUGCUUCUGUUGAGGAGUUGAGUAUCCUUUCUUGCGACAAUCUUAGGGAGCUGCCAAGAGAUGUGUUUGGAUCAAGUUUGCAGCUAUUGCGCAUCUCAGAUUGCCCGAGAUUAAUUAGUCUAGGAGUAAAUGGACAGAAAUGCCCCCUUACAUGUCUUGAGCGAUUGAGCAUUGAUUAUUGCUACGGGUUGACCACUAUAUCUGACAAAAUGUUCGAGUCAUGCCCAUCUCUGCGGUUCCUGUCGGUUGGGUAUUGCCGCAAUCUGGUGUCAUUUUCACUUAAUUUGCAGGAGACGCCUUCUCUCGAGGAAUUCAGCUUAUUCGAAUGUCCCAAAUUGAUCCCUCAUAGGUUCAAAGGAUUUGCUUUUGCCACCAGCUUAAGAAAAUUGAGCAUCGGUCCCUUCUCCUCAGAUGACUCCUCAAUGGAUGGUUUUGAUUGGUCUGGCUUGGUAAAUGCAUCAACACUCCGUGAGCUUCAAUUACGAGGCUUGCCUCACUCGGACUCCCUGCCACACCAGCUUCAAUACUUGACUACCCUCCCUUCACUAAGUCUCUUCAACUUUCGAGGAAUAGAGGUGCUACCACAUUGGAUUGGAAACCUUGUGUCCCUUGAAACCCUAAAGCUAUGGUUUUGCGAAAAGCUUCAGUCUUUACCACCCGAGGCUGCCAUGAGACGACUCACAAAGUUAACUCGUGUCGAAGUUUGUGGGUGUCCUCUAUUAAGACAACGAUACACUCCCCAAAGAGGCAUCUACUUGGAGGAGUAGAUUUCAAGUUAUUUUGUAAGAUUUUCCUAUCUAAAGUUCACACUCAUAGAUAUGCAUACAAAUUUUUUGUAUCUGCAUCUCAUUGACAUAUAUUUGCUCUUCAGUCUCUUAUACUCUUUUUUCUCCGUCUCUUCUAUGAAAUUUCACUAGUCGUGUAAAGUUAAUCCCUGUAAUUCUGUUCUUUUUGGGCAGACCUUGGUUUCUCUUCAAAGAUUAGUUUUAACAGAUCCUGGUUUUGAACAAAUUAGAAGAGACCAAAAUUCUAGAUUUCCUCUGCCUCUCUGAAUCACUGAAAGAUUUUGAACAUCUUAAAAACUCCUUGCACUUCAAAUUGUUACAUUCUAUUUGGCCAAGGAUGAAAUUAUUAGCAAUGGUGCAUGCACAAUUAGCCUCUUUGUUUGAAUGUGUUGGAAAAUGUUUCAUUUGAUGCGUAAUGCUACAUGUACAUGGACCCAUUCUUCAUUUUUCUGUCACCUGAUAUUGCCAGUUUGAAUGGACAACAUUAAAGCUAAUCAAGAAACAUUUGCGAAGAAAAUUCAAGAUACAAUUUGCUGUUCAAGAUACAAUAAUUUUGGACAGUUGUUUGUCAUGUUUCACAAGUUUCAGAAGUUUAUUCGUCACAAUUACCAUGCAGGUAAGCAGUGAGAGCGAACAAGAAGAAAUCGAUGACAAUGAGCAAGCAGGCAGAGACUGUGAACAAAAAAGCAUUGAUAGUGCUCAAACAUCAGCUUCAUGGUGUUUCCCAUCGUUGCUGAAGAAGAAGAAGAGCUUAGGAGGUUUGUUGUGCAGAAAAGUGAUAAUGCAGCAUUUCUUUCCCCAAGAACUCUUUUCUUAUGCAGAAAAGUGAUAAUGCGGCAUUUCUUUCUCCAAGAACUCUUUUCUUACCUCCAUCCAAUUUACUAAGAGUACAAGGAAUUGGUGCAAGUUUGCAUUCUAGUAUGCUUGAGUCAUGUAAUUGGCCUACGAACAGGGCAUUUUCCUGUACUGUUAUGUGUUUGUGAACUUUUACCCUAUGCCUACAGCUUAUCUUUUGCUCUUUAAGAUUUUUAUAUUUACUUGGUGCUAAACAUGUCUAUUGAUUGUGAAAGAAUGUGGUCUUUUCCGAUUUUCUUGCACUAGUUACUAGACCAUAACUUUUCUUUGCUUUCAUUGUUCAUUAUAAUUGAAGGCAUACUGAAAUGUACCAUUGUGAUGCUUUCCAGAGUCUUAGGAGACAUAGCUUAUGUUAUUGGACAAAGGACACCAUCGUUUACACACCAAUUGUCACACGAUAUUGCAUAAUAGGAGAAACUUCUUGAAUUCUGGUAGGCUUUAAUUGGUUUAAGUAGGAUGAUGUUUCUUUUAUGUUUGUACUGACCCCUUCUGUUUAGUUUACAUAGAUCUAAUUGGGCUGCUGCUUCUGAUAUGAUCCCAAAAGUACAUACCUUUAGUUUUUUAAGCUGCAGUAUCGGUUUUUCUCAAUGCACUGCCAUCACUAGUUUGUUAUAUUGUUGGUUUCUGGUUGGCAGAUGAGUUUUUAUUGAGUUGAAGUUUCAUUUCUUAGCAUUUAUUAAUUCUAAUUUGAAUUUGCUUUUCAUUUAGGCCAUGUCCUCGCUUAAAGGUAGGGAGAAUACAUUAGAGAAGAUUUGAGGAGGCUAUUGAUUACGUAAAUGAGCAGCAUCCUUCAGAUGAUUCCUCUGUUCCAGCUGUAAGACUGUUUGUUGCUCACUGCCUGCCAGGCUACAAAGACCAGGAAAACAUGGGAUUUCUUGAUAAUGGAAGUAUUUCCCAGUUCAGGAAAAAAGAAAAAUGAUAAAGAUAUUAAGUGAAGGGCAAACUAUUUUUAGUACGAGGUUGGCAUGAAAAAAGUAGAGAUCGAAAUACCUCUCCUUUUAACCAAGAUGAGUUGGCCAUUAGGUGAAACAUAAGAUGCAGGCCUGACCAGAGGUGAGAAGUUUUAACAUUGAAAAAAAAAAAUGGUCUACUUUUAUUUACAAAUAUGACUAAAGAAAGAGAAAAUUUUUGGUUCAAUCCCUCACGUUUAGGGAGAGUUUUUUUUUGGGUCCCUCAUUUUUGAAAGGUAUAAUUACAAAAACACCCCUGAGGUUUGUGACACAUCACAUGGUAUCCCUAAAUAUUGAAAAAUACCACCUACAUCCCUUAUUUUCAACUUCUUCCAACUUUGUCAACCUAUUCCGACAAAUAUGAUUUAAAAACUCAUUUUGGAAGAGAUAAGACAUUUUCAUUCCAAAAUUACCCUUUCUUGUGGAGCUUUAGCUUUCAUGACAAACCAAAUUAACUUCUUAAUAAUCACAACAUGUUAAUGAAAUUGAAAGAUUUUUUAUAGUUUUCGAUAUCAUCUAUCUAAACAAAAAAGGAGAAAAAAUUAGAAACUCUAAAUGAUUUAGAAGACUCAUAUGAGUCAUCCAAAAAUUGUUACAGUUAAAAAAAAAAGACUUUUUGCACCUCAAAUAAAUUUCUAAAUAUAUGGUUAGUAAUUUUAUCUUUUUCUUGUUUUCAAGCCAUCAAUUUGGACAAAAAGUUCAAACAUUCAAAAUAUUCUAAACAAUUUGUAGAAUCCUUAAAUUCAUCCAAAACACUUUGCAACAAACAAAAUAACUUUUCUUUGAAAAUGCCUUAACUGAGUUUGUAAACUUAAUUUUAGACAUUGUGUCCAUUUUUUAUUUUCAAAUCAUUAACCUAUACACAAAAUUUCAAAAAUUCCAAAGAUUCUUAAAAUUUAUAAAACUCCUCCAAUUAACGAAAACCCUUACAAUAAAUGAAAUAUUUUUUCAGCUUGAACAACCUCAAACAUAAUCUUUUGUACCUUAAAAACAUUUGCUAGUAUAUUUUAUCUCACCAAAAUUACACCUGCACACUAUUUUUUUAUUUUCAAGCUUUUAGUACUAUAGUUUCACUUUUGAAAAACUAGUUGGACAACACAAGGGCAAUUUUGGCAUGAAAACAUCUUCGUUCUCAAAAAUGAGUUUAAUAAUAUAUUUUGAAAUGGACUGAUAAAGUAGUUGAAAAUAAAGGAGAUAGGUGAUAUUUGUCAAAGUAAAGUGUUCCAUGUAACAUUGUCAUUACCUUAUGAGAGGUUUCCGAAAGUACCCCUUUUAAAAUGAAGCAAAUUAGUUUCUCACCUUCUAAAAAUAAAGCAAACUAUUCCCAAAAUGACAACCUGAUAUAUAUAUAUAUAUAUAUAUAUAUAUAUAUAUGUAUAUUAUAGGAACAAAAUUAGAACGUCACUUUAGUUUUUGUGGAAUCUAGGUACAUGUCAUGUGCGCAUGACAUUAGGUUGACGAAAAAAGGAAAACAAUUUAAAAAUUAUAACAUAUAAAAAAAUCGUUCUCUCUAAUUUUUAUUUUUUUUUAGAAAAUGAUAUUCGGCCAACAUAAAAAGGACAGUGUAUAUGUGUGUAGAACUUGUAUUUACAAUAUUGAAAUUACAGUUAACUUGAGAGUUUUGGUUUUUUUUUAUUUUCUUUUGGAAUUGGUUUUUUAAUAUUAUACCUAUCGGAUUUAGGGAUGGCAGCGGGGCGGGGUUGGGGCGGCGGACCCCUCCCCCGCCCCCCGCCCCGUUGCCUAUUAGUUCCCCCCGUCCCCCGCUUCCCGCUCCUCCCGCCCCGCCUUGCCCCGCUUCCACCCGCGGGGUUAAUAAAAUUUUAUUAUUAUUAAAUUUUAAUAAAUAAUCAAGUACUAAAAUAUCAACACAUCACCAAAUUAUUAUUCAUUGUAAUUUUACAAUUGAAACUCAUAAAAACAAUCAAACAUAAGUUAUUUGAAUACAAUCCAAUAUGAUGAAAUAAAUAUAACUAAAAUAGUCAAGUUUUCACUUUUAGUACAAAUACAAUCACUAAUUCAUUAUUGUGUUUGUGCUUUUUUUUGAGAAAAAAGUGUUAUUCUAUUAAGUGUUAUUAGAAAUUUAGUAUAAAUGUAUUAGGAAAAUUUAGUAUAACUAAUUAAUAAAUUCUAUUAGUAGACAUGUAUAAUUAUUCAUAUAAUUGAUAAUAUCAAUUAUAUUACAUAAACUAAUAUACAUUAUAUAAUACAUCUAACUAAUAAUAUCAUUAUCAUAAGUUUAUAACUAAUUAACUUACAUAUUAUAUAUAAUUAUAUAAAUAUUUAUAUAUAUAUAUAUUUUUUUUUUUUGCGGGUGGCGGGGCGGGGGAUGGGGCGGGGGUAUACUCCCCCGCCCCCCGCCCCGUUUCUAGGCGGGGGGAAAAAAUUCCCCCCCGCCCCCACCCCACCCCCCGCCCCGAGAGCCCCCCGCGGGCACCCGCCUCCAUUGCCAUCCCUAAUCGGAUUGUAGUUAACUACAGGUUUGUACACAUAUUCACUGUUACUUCAAUCUGACGGCACGCCGUAUCGGUUACAGCAGUAGCAGCAAGAGCAAGGCGCACGCUAUCGGCUGCACCGGCCAAAAUUUCAAACAUUCAUUUUUUUUGGCUUCCAAAUAUGAAAAAGACGUGGAAGGAACAGCAAUUUAUGCAGCGCAUUUCUUUGGUUCAAGGAUAGAAAAGGAACAGAACGGCGUUAUUGUCAACCAUCUCUUCAUAAUCGGAGCAUUAUACUAAGGUGUUGUUUCUUAGUUUAUGUUACAAAAAAUCAAACACAGCAAUUCAUGCAGCGCAUUUCUUUGGUGCUAAGGAUAGAAAAGGAAUAGAAGGGGUUAUUGUCAACCACCUCUUCAUAAUCAGGGCAUUAUAGUCAAGCAACAAACACACAACCCGUUGCCUGCCCAACUGGUCAAGUAUCAGGCCAUUGAUUAAGAUUUUAACAAUCUCCAAAUUGACGCAACUACCCACCUACUCAUGGUGCCCAUGAGGGGCCUAAGCACUAUUCACACCCCUGAUUCCCCCUUUUUGUUUGCCUUUUAUUGAUAUAUAUACUAAUCAUUAUCAUUACUAUAUAAAAAAUACCAUGAGUCUUGGUAUUUUGGAGUGUAAAUUUAAGUAUUCUUGUAAUCUUCGUUUUUGUUAUUUCAAUUAUGUCCUUGUUAAUUGAUGAUUGAAAUUUCAUUAUACUCUUUUUAAUUUAUUAUGAUAAUUAAAAUUCAUUAUACCAUAUCUAUUGAUUUUAAAAAAUAAUAGUUGAUGAUAAGACAAAAUGUUAAGCAUUAGAGAUUAAGCAGAAUUUGGUUUUAGUUUUCUAUUUGUCCAAAAUACCAUUCUCACUAAUAAUCAUUUAACAUAGGAAUAAUUGUAGUAGUCAGGGAAAAAAGUCUAACCUUAAUUAAGUUUGAAUUAUGAAGCCAAUAAAUAAAAUAUAACACUUCAAUCCAAUGUAUCUCUUUACAUUCUAUUUCAGUUUUUUUAUUUUAUUAUAAAUUCUUGAUUAAUCACAGCCUAAUUAAACUUUCAAAUCGUCAAAAAUAUUUCUAUUGAUAUCAAAAUAAGGUGUUCUUAGGAUAAUAGAAUCUUUGUCAUUUAUGCUUUACAUUAGAUUCUGUCUCAAAAAUAAAAAAAAAAAGAAAACAAAAGAAAAAAAAAUAGAAGAACUCAAUUAUCUCUUUCAAUGAAAUUUCAAUUCUCAAAAAAUGAACAAUUAGAUGAAAAAAAUUUAUAUGUGGUAAAUCAUUGCACUCCAUUGUUAACAAAAAUAACACACAAAAUAAUAUAAAGAGUUCAAAUUAAAAAAAUAUACAUUUUUUUUUGUUUUUCAAACAACAGUGCAUGUAACUUCAUAUUGAGAAAUUUCAUUAAGAUACUAACAAAUUCAAUUUAAUAGCACGAAAAAUAAUAAUGAUGGAGUAUGCAACCAAUAUUUAUGCAAACAAUUAUUUUUAUUUUAUUUUUUUACCCUCCUACCCCUCCCUAACAAUUAGCAAACAUAACUUUUGGUUUGCAUGCAAAUUUAGGCCACCCAACUCUAAAAGAAAACAAAAAGUUGUACGUGUAUCUAAUUAAAAAUCAAACAAUGUUAGUGACAUUAUCACAAUUUGUUUGUCAUGCAAAAAAAAAAAAGAAGUAAUUAGAAGUAUCAAUAUUAUACAUACCAUUCAUAAUAUUGAUAUUUUUGUCAAAUCAUUUCAUAUUUGAUCAAAUCUUUAUUUUUUAAAAUGUUAAUUUUUCAUCUUCUAAUUAAUUGUCCUUAAAACUAUUAUUUUAAAUUGAAAGAGAUUAUAGGUAUCCUCAUUUAUUAAAAAUUCUUUAGAGAUUUUAUACGAAUUUAUAGAUAUAACAUUUUGCGAACUUUUUUUUUUUGCUUUUAAAAUGAUGGUUUUAAGGAUAAUUAAUCAAAGAAGAUAAAAAAUUAAAUAAAAAAGGAAAAAAUGCAGAUAUUAAAUUUUUUAAAAUAAUUUUCACAAAUAAAUUUAAUGUAAUGUACUAAUACUAAUAUUUAUAUAUGUAAGAAUAAUUAUAUAGAAAAUGUAAACAAAAUUACUAUCAUACUUACAUAUAUACAGUGCAGCAAUAAAAGAAUAGAUAAUUUUCCAGCCAUGGUAGUGUAAAGUUACUUGGAUUUGGAAAAGAAAAUCGUAAAUAAAUGCAUUUAUUUCUAUUUAUUAUAUUUGAAUUCAAAAUUGAUUGGCAUGGAAAUGAAAUAAAAAAUUAUUAUUGUAGUUUUUAUCAAAUUCAUGCUAUUGUAAUAGAGUGUCUCGUCUAAGGAACAUAUUACCGUAUUUGAAUUACCUUAAUUACCUAGCGUUUGCUCAAUACAAAUGUGUUUGUCAAAAACAUAUUCCCAAAAAAUUCUCCCUCUCCUCUGACCACCUGUCUCAUCGCCUCCCUAUAGUCCCUCCUUUCCCUACUCCUAACCACAUUUUCUCCCUUACCCCCUCCCACUUUCCACCCUUUUUUUUCACUUUUUGUCCUAAUCUACUGUGGCCUCCACCAAUGUUUUAAAAAUCGGACUGUUAAUUGAACCGGUGAAGUGAAAGGGUCGAUGUUCAACCGGUCGGACCGGUUCAACCUCGGUUCAAUGAAUUUUUUAAAAAAUUAUUUAUAUAAAUAUAUAUAUGUACAAAAUAAGACAUGUAAUGGAUUAAUUUAAUACUUUAUAUGAUGAAAGGUUUACUAUUUUUUAAUAACUUGGAUUUUUUAAAAAUAAAUUUUUUAAAUUAUAAGUUAAAACAAAUAAAUUUCACCUCGAUUUCAAUUAUGUCUAAAUCCAAUCCAAAAAUAUCACAAUAUUUUGAAAUUAUACAAAAUUCACGUCUAUGAGAAUUUAGAUAUUGUGAACUUAAAUUUUAAUUUACAUUUUAGAGAUUGUAAUUUAAAAAAGGAAGUUUGGAGUUCGAAGGAAGUCAAGAAAAUCGAAAAUAGAAAUGUAAACUUGAUAAGAAACAAAAAAUGAGAUAAAAGUGAGUGGUUGUAGCAUUAAAUAAUUUGGGUUAAAAAAUAAUUCUUUUUUAACUUUUUUCAAUUUAAUGGACAAAAACCAAAUUAAAAGAUGGAAGAAAACAUCAAUAAAUUAAAAAUAAAGAGGUUUGAUUAAAAAGGGAGUGACAAAAAAAGAGGAUAGAGAGAGAGAGAGAGUUGAAAAUUAAAAAGAAAGAGCCAUGAGCGGAUGAGAUUUUGUAAGAAAAAUGGAAAAAAGAAAUAUAAGUGUUUGCUUUAUAUAAAUAAGUUAUCAAAAAAAACUAAUAAGAUGCGAUGGUGCAACGGUUAAUACAUUGGUCUUCUAUUCGAAUCUUGAUAGCCGCAUUUUGCAAAAAAAAAAAAAAAAGGAAGGUUGAAAACCGGUUCAAUAGCGGUUCAAUCGCGGUUUUUACGGUUCGACCGGUUCUUGACCGGCUUUCUGACAAAGUCAACUAUGGCAUUGAACCGGACCGGUGCCAUGGCCUGGUCGAACAAAAAAAAAAAGGAAGGUUGAAAACCGGUUCAAUAGCGGUUCAAUCGCGGUUUUUACGGUUCGACCGAUUCUUGACCGGUUUUCUGACAAAGUCAACUAUGGCAUUGAACUGGACCCGGUGCCAUGGCCGGUUCGCGGUUCGACCAGCCGGUCCGGUUCGGUUUUCAAAACAUUGGCCUCCACGCCCUCUUCCUCGAACACAAAGCGGAGGUGAAAUGAGGUACUGUUUUGGUGUUCUUUUUUUUUUUCUGGAUAUUUUGGAGUAUCUUUAGCAAGUUACUGUAGAUUUUUUUUUUUUACAAAUUAUUUAUCUUCCUAAAAUACUCAAAAAACACGGAUGCUAAAACAAAAACCUAGCUUUUUAAAAACAUUUUUUGUUUAAAAGCCGGAAAAGAUUUUGGCUUUACCACUAGUUUAAAACUUCGGAUUAAUAAUUAAGAUUAAACAAUAAUGUUUUAAGUUUAUCUCCAGAAGGACUAACAGACGAGUUGAAUUGCCAUUUUCCUCUUUCGCAUGUUUGCCAUCAUACUUUAUUGUCCCUCCGGAUUGGAACGUACUCAGUCAGUAAAGAGAUGAAGGCCACAACAACAACAUGAUUAACAAAACUCGAAGUGAAAAUGCCAACCAAUCAUUAUCCUUUUUGGUUAUUAGAGCAUAAUACUAGAAAUAUGUGUGUGAAAUAUUUCACUUAUCAUGGCGAUGUACACUUUCAAUGCAACGAAUGUACAAUUCAAACAUGAGUUUAUGUUGUAAUGAAUAUGUAAAUAAGAGUUACAUUAUAGAGCACAAUUGUUAAGGCACUUUUUAUCUAUUCAAUGAGAUUAACACAAAUGCACCAUCGUUCAAGUUAUUCUUUGUCUAACGCCAUUAGUCAAGCACUUCAGCAACAGGCGAGAGAUGUGUAAUUAUGUUGAUGCCCCUUUCUUGAUAAGAUGGAAGCAAAUGCAUCAUUCAAGUUAUUCUUGGCCAAAAUUCAUUCAUCAUUUUUUUUUAAAAAAAUAAUAAUAAGAUAACGACAAUGGCACGCCAAUCCCCCAUGAAAGUGAGCUCAACAUCUUUAGUUGUGUAAAGUUUAAAAGGCUCACUUCUCGACAAUUUUACAAUUUAUUCAGAAUACUUCAUAUCUAAGAUUCCAUUUUCUCUUUCCAAAAAUAAAGGUUCAAGUAAUUUGACAUCACAAGCCUGAGAUACAAAGGUAAUUCUAAGUGUUUUACAUGUUUUUCAACUUAAGAAUGCGUUACAUUUUGUGGACGAUGUUGAGCUCUUAUUUUAAGAAUGCGUAACUGAUUAAAUAGAAUGAGACACGGAGGUCAUCGUCCAUAAAUCAGGCUACUUUUUGAAGCCAGUUCCCAAAACGUGACGGUUUUCAAACAAACGUAAUCACUGAAUGCGUUUUUUCAGGAAAGGCAUACGCUAAAUGCAAUGUUUAAAAUUUUAAGAAAAAAUAUAGUUUUAGUCCCUACUGUUUAAUCUACAUGCAAUUUUAGUUUUUAAAGUUUUGAUAAAAGUAAAUCUGGUCCUCAAUAUUUAGUAUAUGUAUAGUUUUAGUCCCUAUAGUUUUGGCAAUAGCAAAUCCGAUCUCCAAUAUUAUCAAUUUGAAGCAUUUUUAGGACAACUGGUGAAUUUUUCUAAAUAUUGAUCGAAUCAGUCAUGUUUGGUCACAUAUUUGUUGAAAAACUUCUUAAAAUUUAAUGAAAUAACAAGUAAUCUUGAACAGUAAGAAUAACUUGCACGCUAGCACAUUAAUAACUAAUUAAUCACGAGAAAAAGAAAGAAAAUUUGUUAAUCUAUAACUAAAAUUAGGUAUUACAAUUUUUUUUUUUGCUUGGAGACACGAGGGAUAGUCAAUGAAAAUGAAUUUUGGAUCGAUGAACUGGGUACAUUGAAGUUUUAGUUUAAAAAUUUUCCUUCUUUUAACUAUUUAAUUAGUUAGCACAUGAGUUAUUAGUUUUCAAUUUUGAUGCUUCAAGUUAGCUACUCUUUUGCUUCUUUAUUUUGAAAUUUAAAUUAAUAGGCAAAUGACUAAACGUGGCUCUAUUUUGUUAGUAAUUGAGAUAAAAAUUCUUCAAAUGUCCUAAACCAGAUUCAAAUUGGAUAUAAUGGGGACCAGAUUUGCUCUUGCUAAAAUUUUAUGGACUAACACUGUAGACGUGCUACAUAUUAAGGAUCAUGUUUGCUGUUGUUAAAACUUUAAGGACUAAAUCUGUACAUGGGCUAAACAUUGAGGACUAAAACUAUAUUUUUUCCAAAAAUGGAAAAUUUAUGCCUUCAAAGAAUGAAAAGUGGGAUUUAGCAAAUGCAAUUUUUUAACAAUUGGGGUCGGUCUAGUGGCCAAAAGAGAGCCUUUAGAGUUUUUAUGAUUGUUAGAUUUAGGGUUUAAAUCCUGUAUCUGAUAAUUGAUAGCAGGAAAGGUAUAGGAAUGGGUGGAAGGGUUAAGAAAAAUGCAACUUUUCUCAAACAUUGCAAUUACGAAAUAUAUUUUUCACCCUUUGGGAAGAAGUUUGAAAAACAUCAUUUUUAGGAUUUUUUUUUAAAAAAAAAAACUAGCACUCAUUCGGUAUAUACUCCAUCAUCCACUAGAUAAUUCUAUUUGCAAAACCAGCCAACUAGCAAAAUAAGUAAUACAUUGACAAAUUGGUCUUUUCCAAUUUGAUUGUGAUCAUAGUUCAUUGUCCCUCCUGGAUGGAACUUUAAGUUACACCACUUUUCCAACAGUCAUUCAGAUACAUUCAGAUUAAAGGGUUCCGGCAUUCAAUCAGUAAAGAUGAAGGCCCCAUCAACAACACGGAUUGAGGGCUUUUAUAAAUCCAUCACACCAUUUUUGUUAUUUCUUGUUAAUAAAACGUAAUUGUAUUGGAAGUUGAGUUGGAGCUUGGGACAGUUGACGUGGAUGCAUAUGAACUGUCUCACAGAUUAUGGUGAUUAUACACCUUCAAUGCAACGAGUGUACAAUAUUUUAAGCAUGAGUUUCGUGUUGUAAUGAAUAUGUAAAUAAGAUUUGUCUCAAGCAAUUAUGCCUAAUAAGAUUCACUUUGUAAAAAGGUGAAGACCCCAGCAACAAGCCAAGCAUCCAACUUUGCCAACGAAGCAGUGCUCUACACGAAUUGACGGCUCAUUAUUUCUUGUACCCAUAAAUAUCUCUGUGGUUAGUGUGAAUGCAGCAAAUUAAUAUGCAAAUGAGAGUCACAUUAUGGUUAAUUAAUCUUGGCCAUAAAUUAUCUCGGGCAAUUAUGCCCUGUAAUUAUUCAGGCUUUCUUUACACAUUUAAUGAGAUUGAGACAAAUGCACCACAAAAGUUUUUCUUUAUCAAAGUGAAACAGUUUGACAAAAACAAAGAAUAUGUAAUUAUUGAUGCCCUUUGAUGUCAAGAUUGAAGCAAAUGCAUCUUUCAAGAUACUAACCCCACCGACCGAUUUUUUUUUUUUUUUUUUUUUAGAAAAAGGAAAUUGGAUUGUAGGUCGAAAAUCCGACACCAAUCCCGCAUGAAAGUGCACACAAAAUCCUUGGUUUUGUGAAGCUUAAAUGGAUCAAUUCUGAACUGAUGAUUAUUUUACAAUUCCUUGAUGAUUGUUCUCUUCAGAAAAUAUACGUUCAAGUAAUUUGAGAUCACCAAUUGACUGAACAUGGUCUCUUUGUGGGUCCUCCUUAGAUUGCUUUCGUGAUCGAUUUUCCGAUGACUCCUGCAUUGGUUUAAAUUAGCAGUGUGUGUGUUUAUUUCGUUUCCGAAAAAAAAGUAAUUUGAGAUCACAAGUUUGGUACACAAACCUAUGAACCAUCCACUUUAUGUCUCUAUUCUUAACCAGCAAAGAAGCAAGGUAGCUGGUCCAAAAAGAAGAUUCCCUGUUUGUUUGUAAUAAAAAUGAGUCCCACCGUAGAAUAAAGCAGGAGCACUCGAAGACUUAUCUUAGAAGCACUUCAAAUUCUUUUCUUCUCCUUAACAUAUUUGCUUUUAGGUGAUGCAGCUGAAGAAUUCCUUCUUAUCUCAUUGCAAAAGGCGUCCUGAUCAUCACCUUAACUGAUACCAGAAUACUAAGCCUCAUGAAUGAGACACGAAGCUGAUCAUCCAAAAGAAGAUCCAAAAUAACUGUUAAUUAUAAAGUACUAAUUGGGCAAUGUAGAACCCUGGAAAAGCAUUCAAUCAGAAAAAGGUGAAGACCCUAGCGACAAGCUAAGCACCAAUUCCUUUGGAAAUUAAAGCAUCCCACUUUGCCAACGAAACACUACUCCACACGGAUUGAGGGCUCAUUAUUUGUCACAUAAUUAUCGUCAUUAUCAUUAAAGGUGAAGACUGUUAGCUUCCUUAUAAAACCCCCGUCAAUAAAAAAAAAUUCAUCUCACUCUUCCUUCUCUUGACCACUAACACUCUGGUGGAGCGAAAAUAGAGAAACUAUUUGUGCCGUCUUUUUACUUCAAGAUCAGGUAACCUCCUCUUCUAUUCAUAGUUUCUUCAUAGUAUUACGGAUACAUUGACAUGGGGUGUAUGAUGGAAUUCUUUUUUGUCAUAUGAAUUUUCAAAACUCCUUAAUGAAUCAAAUUUAUACUCUUUUUAGUUGUUUUCUGGAUACUUGAUUGUGCUUUUUCUUAAAUACUUGAUAGCUUAUUCUUUGGUCUUCUACCUGAUUAUAUGAAUAAUUAUACGGCUUCAAUGAUUUUUCAAAAUUAUCCCUAUUUAACAAUCCUGGACAAGUAGGAUGAGAGAUUAUGAUGUAUGUAUUGCUAGGAAAGUUCGUUAAUUUGCAUUUAGAUCAAAGUUUAAACAAGUUGGAUAAUUGAUAAUUUAUUCCCGUUGAAUCAUCUUAGACAUCAAUUUAUGCUGCACUUAGUGCUGAUCUUAAUCACUCACAACUAUGAUCAGAUUAUCACCAAUUAAUGGCUUGGCAUAAUCCCUCACAACAACUUUUGCCGGUUCUUUUAGAUGGAGCUAUAUACUCGUAAGGCAGCAUACGACAUGAAAUAAUUGAUUUUUUUUCCAAGUAGUAUUGGGUGGCAAACUAUGAUCAUAUUUUAAGGACCUCGUAUAUAUAGUAAGGUUGUCUGAUUAGCAACAAAUUUAUUAUUUUAGUUACCUACUGACUCAUAAAAACAAAUACACUAACAUUAAUACUUUCAGAUGGAUAAGAAAUCACACGAAGAUUCAAAUCAGUUUCACAUCCAACAAAAACAAUGACAAUUAGUUGGUGUUGAUGUUAUUUACCAUGUAACAAAAUUGAUCAUGCCUCAAAGGAUUUGUUGCACAAAUUAUGUUGAAUGACCCAAUGGGUAUCGAUCUAAACAAAGUCAGAAUGUGCGAAAGGAAAUACUGAUGCAACUUAGAACAAAUCAGGUAUGUAGACUCGACAAACAUUGACAAAAAAUUCCUAAUUUUGGCCAACUUGGAUAUAUAAACUUAAACGGUGAUGUGAGGUGAAAAAUUAGGGGCAACAUGGAGGAACACUGGUCUAGGGGAAUUAUAUGACAAUUGUAGUUUUGAUGGAGUAAAAUAAUAAGCUCUUGACUUAGGUUCCGUUUGAUAAAACUGAAUCUGAAUUUUGAAGUCUGAAUUCUGAAAUCUGAAUACUGAAACAAUUAAUUUGCUGAAUUUUAAGCAUUGAAAAAAAUAUGUGAAUGUCUGAAUUUUAAUGCUAAACCUAUUUAUACUGUUUGAUAAAUAUUUAUUACUGAAUGCUUAAUAAGUUUAAUUUGACAAUUUUGCCCUUAUAUCCUUUUAUUCAAAAAAGAAAUAGAAUCUAUGAUUUGAUUAGUUUAAAAUUGUUAGGUAUGAAAAUGACAAUAUUUAUUUUUAAAUCAAAUUAAUAUAAAAGAUGAAAUAUAUUAUAUAAGGAAUAUGGAGAAGAUGUGAAAGUCAUUAAAAAGGGAGAAAAGAGAAACUAAAAAUCGUUAGAUAGAGAAUAUUAGGUUGUUUAAUUAGAUAAGAAUUUUGAAUAUAAUUAACAAAUAAGGGUAGAUUUGGUAAAUAAAAUAAGGUAGUUGAAGUAAUUCUAUUGAUUCUUAUCAGAAUUAAGCAUUCAGUUAGGAUUCUUGUAUUGAAAAAAAUACACACAGGUUCAGCAUUGCUUAAUAAGUUCAGCAAAUAGAUUUUCAUUUAUCAAACACUCAAAACAUUUGAAUGUCUGAAAAAAUUCAGAUUCAGCUAUGUUAUCAAACAGACCCUUAAACCUGAAGGUGUUUAAAUUUUCUUUGGCUUAAAGGCGUUUAAAUUUGAAGCUGUCAGUUUUGUUGCAAUUAUUUACUUUAGAAGAACUUUUUAAUUAAAGGGCACGGUUGUAAAACUAACAAGGGAGACAAUCUUUUCCUUUCACUCCUCCCAAGUCUCAAACAAAACCAAAAAAAUCAUUUCUUUUCUUUUCUUUUUUAAGUUCCCAAACAACAUUGAAGGAAAGUUGUCUAACUUAAUUAGUCAAACAUUCUUUAUGUUUAUAUAUAUAUAUAUGACUCAAUCCAAGGUUAUGCAAAAUUUAAAAGAUUUAAUAAUCAACAGUUCUACAAUUUGGACAAAGAAUCUCAAGAUUUCAUUAUUGACCAAAAGCAAGUAAUUUGAGAACACAAGCCUCACUACCAAGACACUAAGGUAACCAUCCGCUACACCUCUCAAAAUUUCUACUACACAGGAGGCAAAUUAACUGGUUUAAAAAGAGGGUCUGAUUUGUUUAUUGAUUUGCUAUAUAAACUUUUUGGUCCCAUUAAUUUUCGCUACCUUAAUUCCCUAAUUGAGGAACGGUCUUAUAAAAGUUUCACCACCUACUCAGAUUGCUACAAUUUAUAGUUCCAAUUUUCUUUUCAUCCGACCACAGUGGUUUAAUUUCUUCCACAACUAAGGCCCCCAUCAGUGACUAAAUCAGAUUGCGCUAAAAUUAUUUUGAGGUGCCCCACGCAAUUUGAUUAAUCACAAUUAUACUAAUCUGAAUCUCUCUUAUACAUCAGCCCACUGGAAUCGUUUAAUCAUCUCUCUCUUGUUCUGACUGGCUUCUAUUCUGAUUUCUGCCAUUUGUUGCUGAAACAUUCCUUCCAUCUCUGAUAUCAGAAAACCUUUCGAUCCUAGUUCCAAUUCCAAGCAAGAAACAAUGGCUGACGCUGUUAUCAGUGCUACUGUUGAGGUCGUCUUGGGGACACUUAUUUCCAUUGCUGCGGACCGCAUUGGUAUGGUUCGGGAGGUCGAAGCGGAGUUGGAGAGACUAAGCAACACUGCUGCAAUGAUCCGAGAUUUCUUGGCUGAUGCUGACGGGAAAAUGCAUACCCAAGGGGUGCGACAGUGGCUCAAGCAGCUAGAAGAUGAGGUUUUUAAAGCUGAUACCGUGCUAGACGAGCUCAACUACGACAAUCUUCGUCGGGAGGUGAAGUACCGAAAUCAACCAAUGAAGAAGAAGGUAUGCUUCUUCUUCUCCUUCUUUAAUGCAAUUGGCUUUAGUUCCAGCUUGGCUUCAAAGAUCCGGGACAUCAACACCAACCUAGAGAGGAUCAACCGGCAGGCCAAUGACUUGGGAUUGGUCAGAAAGCACCAAAAAGAAGCUGCACUCCCUGCUGAUGCCGCGGCAAGCAGACAGACCGACUCUAUUGUCGUUCCGAACGUUGUAGGAAGAUCCGGCGACGAGUCAAAGAUAGUGGAGAUGCUGUUGACCCCAUCUGAAAAGGUUCUUUGUGUUAUUCCCAUAACAGGCCCGGGAGGUUUGGGAAAGACAACUCUGGCGAAAUCAGUCUACAAUAAUCCAAAAAUAGAUGGGCACUUUGGCCAAAAAAUUUGGGUUUGUGUGGCUAAAGAACACAUUAAGAUAAUGGAGCAGUUCAAGCUCAUUUUAGUACAAUUGACACAAGAUGAAGUUAAAGUGGAUGGCAGAGAGGUUAUCGUUAAAAAAAUUGGAGAAAAGCUCAAGGGAAAAAAAUAUUUCCUUGUUCUUGAUGAUGUGUGGGAUCAUGAUCAAGGAUUGUGGAAUGAUUAUUUCAACACUUUGAUGGGACUCAACGAAACCAAAGGAAGCUGGUGUCUUCUCACUACUCGUCUAGAAUAUGUGGCUAAUGCUGUGCCUAGAGAUUUGCAAAUGAAUGAUCGUCCUUAUUUCUUAGCAAAGCUAUCAGGUGAUGAGUGCUGGUCCAUCAUAAAAGGAAAGGUGAUGAGUGCAGGGGAAGAAGUACCAGAAGAAUUGGAAGCACUGAAGAAGCAAAUUUUAAGGAGAUGCGAUGGCCUACCCUUGGCGGCAAGUUUGAUUGGUGGCUUGUUGCAUACCAACAGAAGAGAGAAGUGGCACUCCAUUGUGCAGGAGAGUAUUUUGAAUGAAUAUCAAAGCCAAAUUAAUCAAAUACUUAAGGUGAGCUUUGAUCAUUUAUCACCUGCAUCAGUUAAGAAAUGUUUUGCAUAUUGCUCAAAUUUUCCCCAGGAUACUCAAUUACGAGAAGAUGAACUAAUUCAGCAUUGGAUUGCGGAAGGUUUUGUUCUAAAGAAUAAUAGAGUGAUGGAGGAAACAGGAGGCGAGUAUUUGAGGAUUUUGUUGCAAAAUUCCUUGCUGGAAAAAGUCGAAGAGUCGUGGAGAACAUACUAUAAAAUGCACGAUCUCGUGCAUGAUUUUGCAAAAUCAAUUCUUAAUCCAGAAAGCAGCAAUCAGGAUCGCUACCUUGCAUUGGACUCUUCUAAAGGUUUGGAAGAAAAUACCAUAAGGACAAUACCAGCAUCAAUUCGCACAUUAUUUCUCCAUCUAGAGGGCGGCGUAUCUACUGACAUGCUUUUAAGAUUCAAGUGCUUGAAUGUUCUCAGAUUGUCUGGCGAUGAUGUCGAGUCUCUACCGAGCUCCAUUGGCAAACUACUACAUUUGCGGCUGCUCGACAUUUCAUCUUCUAGAAUCAGAAGUUUGCCGGAAUCCCUUUGCAAGCUAUAUAAUUUGCAGACACUAACGAUUGAUGAUGAUGCACUUGGAGGACGUUUUCCAAAACGGAUGAGCGAUUUGAUUAGCUUGAGGCAUCUAAAUUACUAUGAUUAUCUUCGAGAAUUUAAAAUGCCGGCACAGAUGGGACGAUUGACUGGUCUUCAAACUCUGAAGUUUUUUAUUGUAAGUCAAGAGAGGGGUCGUGGUAUCGAAGAGCUUGGGACCUUGAAAUAUCUGAAAGGAUCGUUGACUAUAAGAAAUCUUGGACUAGUGAAGGGCAAAGAAGUAGCUAAAUAAGCAAAAUUGUUCGAAAAGCCAGAUCUGUCUUACUUGGCGUUUGAAUGGGAGAGUGGGGAUCGGGAAAGCGAUAACCGUGAAGAGGAUGUGUUGGAAGGUCUCCAACCUCACCCAAAUUUGGAAAGGUUGGGAAUUCAAUAUUUUAUGGGUAAUAAAUUUCCACAAUGGCUUAUCAAUUUGUCAAAAUUGGAGGAAUUGCGGAUAGAAGGCUGCAAGAGAUGCAGUGAACUCCCCUCAUUAGGACAACUGCCAUCCCUCAAAAUUCUCUAUUUGAUAAGAUUGGACAACAUUCGAUUUAUUGGAGAUGAAUUCUACGGUAUUACUGCUAAUGAGGAGGAGGAGGGCAGAUCACGAGCAUCAGGGAGCAGCACUAGAAGGCAAAAAUUCUUUCCUGCCCUUGAAGAACUCACUGUAGUAGAUAUAGAGAAUUUGGCAGAGUGGAAGGAUGCAGACCAAGUGAGGUCAGCAACAGGUGAAGCAGAAGCAGAUGUCUUUCCCGUGCUGAGGAAUUUUCGCAUUCGAGAUUGCCCACAACUGACCACCAUUCCAACUCAAGGUCGUUUCCCAAGUCUUGAUGUAUUGGAAAUAAAAAAGAAUUGCCAUGUUUUGCUGGCAGAAAAGGUUUUGAGCAAUAUAGCCAAUCUCUCGUCCCUUGAAUUAAGUGGCGGUCAUGAAGGCAUCGAGUCUCUAAAAUUAGUGAAACGACCAGAGAGCAGCUUGAGUAUUGAUGGCUGUAACAGUCUACCCACUGACAUGCUUGAGCGACUCUGUCUUUUUCCAACUCUUCUGCGUGUAGAAUUGAGGGGUGCCGAUAAUAUAACAACAUUAAGAGGACAGAAAGGCCUGCUUAAGUCUCUUCAGGAAUUUACUGUCAAUGGGUGCGAUGCAUUAACAAGGUUACCAGUGGAGAUGUUCGAGUCGUGUACGUCUCUCCGAGUGCUGAAUUUGGUCGAUUGCCCCAAUCUGGUCUCCUUUCCCCUUGAUUUGCAACGAACCCCUUCUCUCGAGAGCUUCUCGUUAUUCGAGUGUCCCAACUUGAUUGCUGAGAUGCCUAGUGGAUUUGGCUAUCUUACCAGCUUAAAGAAAGUGCAGAUUGGUCCCUUCUCAGAUGUCUCUGUAAUCGAAUUUGAUUGGGCUGGAUUAGCAUCUUCACCAACACUCCGACACGUGUUUUUAUGGGGAAUGCCUGACAUGAAAUCUCUGCCACAUCAGCUUCAAUGCUUGACUACCAUCACAUCACUAUGUCUAAUUGGCUUCGAAGCAAUCGAAGCCUUACCAGAUUGGCUUGGGAAUUUUGCAUAUCUUGAAGACCUAAUCCUAUACUAUUGCCUAAAGCUUGAAUAUUUACCAAAAGAUGCCAUGAAACGCCUCAAAUUAAGACGUCUGGAAAUUAGUUAUUGUCCUCUAUUAACCGAAAGAUGCACUCCUCGUAGCGGCUCCGAGUGGCCAAAGAUCUCUAAUAUUACAGAGCUUGAAAUUGAUUAAAAGCCAUCUUUCUGAGCCAUCCGGUAAGAUUUCACUGCAAACUUUUGAUUAAUUGCUUCUCAUUAUUGGAUAUCACUGUUCUUCACCAUCUUAUUCUAUCCAUCUUUUUGCCUCACUCUUUUUCUACUUCUUCUCAUUAAAGUUUCUUGUCCCUCUCUGGUGGAACUUACACAAUUAUUCAAUCAGAAAAAUAUGAAGGCCCCAGCAACAACAGUGAUCGAGGGCCAAGCAACUUCCAUUGCAAAAGCAUCCAAAUUUCCCACCGAUGUCUUUUAAGUAUUCUACCGAAACAACUAAUGGCCGCCUUCAUUGACCAAACUUAGAAUUGUUGUGGCCGACAAAAUUUAGUCUAGGCUUUCAUACAGCUAUUCUUUAUCAAAUCAUGCAACAUAUAUUUAUUUGUAAACCAAAAACUUGCAACAAAUAUUUGGAAUUUUUUUUUUGAAAAAUAUUGUGACGUUUCUUUAAUCUGAUGUAUGAUGUAUGUGAGAUAAAAAAAAUAGUUAAAAAUGUAUUAAUAAUAUAAAUAAAUAAAUCUUGACAAAUAAUUUACAGUCACAAACAAACCCAUUACAGCCAGAUGACACGUUACUAUGAACUAUGAACAGAGAAUCUUUUAGAAGUUUGCAUCCGAAGAUCAAAAUAUUCCUUUGCUAACUUAAAUAUAUGCAUUUACCAUUCCAUGUACUGAGAAAUAAGUACAACAUUGGCAAUAAUUCAUACGGUAAUUCAGAUAUUUUCAGUAACAGGCCCCAGCAUUGAAUCAUAAAAAUAUGAAGGCCCCAGCAACAACAAUAAUGAUUAAGAAAGCUAGGGCGAAAAUGCCAAGCAUCCAAUUUCCUACUGAAUUGAAGCCCAGCACUAGACUGAUUGAGGACUCCUUAUUUGUCACAUAAUUAUCAUUAUUUAUUUCUUGUACCAAAACAUGGUAGUCGAAGUUGAGUUGGACCACAGGGUUGUUAAUGCGAGCAUAAAUAUCUCAUGUGAUUAGGGUGGUUCUACACCUCGAAUGCAACAAACGUAGUACAGUUUAAGCAUGGAUUUGUGUUGCAAUUAAUGUAUGCGAAUAAAAUUCAUUGUGUGAUUGUAAAAAAAUAAAUAAAAUUUCCUCUUAAUUUCUUAAAUUGGAGAAUAAAAGAAGCUGGUAAAUUGUUUUUUUUUUCUUUUUUGGCAAAGCCCCAAAUUGGGGUAGGGAUGCCAUCCCUUAAUUUAUUUAUAUCGAAAAAGAGUACAGCGAAUUAGAGGAGGGCCAAACCUGACCUCUGUUAAAGUAAAAGAAACAGUUAAGGAUCAACAAUAAAACGCACAUAUGGAAAAAUCUGGAAUAAUCUUGUGGGAUUGUGAGUGAGCAUGGGAAUUUGGUUUAACAUCUUGACGUGUUUGCAUUGUUUUACCUUUUUUUUGAAAGCUGCUUCCUCGCUCUCUUCGAAUCAUUUGGGUAAAUUGCUCGUGAACUAGGUUCUGGUCUUGAUCUUUGUCUUUUUCGCAUUGUGAAUCACCUUCCUCCUCUUCAUUUUUGUCAUCAUUGCAUGUUGUACUUGAAUGAAGAAAAGGCUUUUGAUGUACAAAGGGGAUCCUACCAUGUAAUUUCUCCCAUUUAAACUGUUCGAAAACAUCUUUAAAUUGCGGAACAUCUUUAAACCGUGACUUUUGAGGCAUAGAGGAUUUCAUUUCUAUUCUUGUACUUGUACCCACAAGGGGUGUAUCUCCAACUGACACCACAUCAUGUAGGUCAUGAAGAAGCCGGUAAAUUGUAAUUAACUUAUUAUACAAAAAAAAAAUUUAUGUUGUUUCUUCAGCUUUAUAAAUUUUUGGUGUGAAAAUUUUUUUAUUUGCUUAAGAAUAAAAAUUAAUAAAAAUUUUAAAAAGAGUAAUUUGGAAUAAAAACUAGAAGGGAAGGGAAAAAAAUGAAGAAAAUAUCAACAUAGUAGAGGGAUUUUUUUUCCUCUUAGUUAGGGGGUUAAGUGUUACAAAAUAGAAAUUAGUGGGUAAAAUGAAAAAUAGGGCAUACCUUAGCAAGAUAAAUUGUAAUUAACUCGUAUUAUUAAUUAAAUAAAUCUUAUAUACACUGACAGUGUAUACACUCUCACCGUUAGAUUCAUGACACGUGUGCAAAAAUUAAAUUUCAAAUUUAAAUUUUAUAUAGUUAUCAUUCAUCUAAUGCUGAUAAUGUAUACACUGUAAGUAGGAAAGAUUAAUCCUUAUUAAUUUAUUAUGUGAUCUUAACUUCAAAGGUGAAACUAAUAAUAUGGACCAUUAACGGUCGUACAUGAGCCAUUAAUUAAGAACAUCUUUAGCUUAAACUCUGACAGCCACUAAGUUUUUAACUUCCAUAUUUAUACCCCUGAAGCAAAUGUUUUGAGUAUAUCUCUAAAAGGACUAACAGAUUAGGUGAAUGACCAUUUUCCUUUUUCCCAUGUCUUUGCCAUCACACUUUAUAUAAAGUCCCAUUAGGCUGCAACGGACAAGUGAAAAUGCCAAGCAUUCAGAUCUUUUCAGAUUAAAGGGCUCCAGCAAGCAUUUACUCAAUAAAGAUGAAGGCCCCAGCAGCAACAGGAAUGAUUAAGAAAACUCAGGUGAAAAUGCCAAGCAACUUCCAAUGCGGAAGCAUCCGAUUCCAAGCUCGCCGACGAAGCAUUGCAAUUCUACACGACCGGAGGACUCUCAAUUGGUCACAUCAUGAACCUUUUUUUUUUCUUGUGAAUAGAACAUAAUACUAGAAGUUGAGGCGGAGCCGAGGGUUGUUAAGAUAUAUACAAUAAGAUUAUGGUAAUUGUACACCUUCAAUGCAAUGACUGUACAAUUUAAACACGAGUUUGUGUUGUAAUGAAUAUGCAAAAAAAAAAAAGGGUUACAUUAUGGUUAAAAAUUUUGCCAUAAAUUGUCUCAAGCAAUUAUGCCCAAUAAUUGUUAAGGCACUUUUUUAUCUAUUCAAUAAGAUUGAGAGAAAUGCACCGUUGAAGAUAUUCUCCGUCAAAAUUCAUUAGCCAAACAUUAUAGCGAAAACAAGAAAUGGAAGUGUUGAGGCUUCUUUAUUUAUUUAUUUUUUGGAUAACAUUGAAGCAAAUGCAUCAUUGUUAUUCUUUGCCAAAUUACGGCCAUCAGUUUUUUUUUUUCUAUUAAAAGAUAGUGACAAUGGCACGUCAAUCUCCCCUCAAAGUGAACUCCACAUCUUUGGUAGUGUCAAACAAGUGGUUGAACUUUAAUUUUCUAAAACAAUACAGCAGCGAACCACACAAUUACACUGUGCAUUCUUACUAUCAGGGUUGGUUAUUGUAACAUCUGAUAUUUGUAUGUAUGUGUGUGUAUAUAUAUAAGGGUGUAUUUGAUAAAAUUGAAGUUUGAAAAGUGAAAUCUAAAAUCUAAAGUCUGAAUUCAUUAAAUUAUUAAAAUGUUAUAUACUAAAUCAAAUACUUUUAAGUGUAUUUCACAUUCAAUGAUAAGUGAAUAGCUAGCUUAUCACUUAUUUUUAAGAACAAGCUUUGAAAUUCUCCUCUUUGCUCUAUGUGUGCGCGUGUGAAAUUGAGUUAUCAAACACGGCCUAAGUGUGAAUGUGUGUAUAAUGCUAUAUAAACGAGGAAACUUUGAUCUAGUGAUUAAUGUUGAAAAGUCAGAAAUUAGAGAUUCAGGGUUCAAUUCUCCUCUUUGCUCACUCCACUUCUUAAAUCUCCUUCUUCCUUACUACACUUCUUAAAUCCUAGAAAGCCUUGCUUUAGUGGUUAAUGUUAAAACUUCUUAUAUCUCCUCUUUCCUUACUCUACUUCUUAAAUCCUAUAAAGUUUUGGUCUAGUAGUUAAGUUUGAAACUCCAACAAUCAGAGGUCCAAGUUUCACUUCUUGUCUUUUCUCACUUCACUUCUUAAAUCCUACCAUUCAUGUGAUUUUUUUUUUUAAAAAAACAAUAUAAAUGUUUUUGAUUUUAUUUUCAAAGGACUCACUUCUUAAAUCCCACUCUUACUGUGUUUUUUUAAAAAAAAAAAUUACUACACGAAUGUUUUUGAGUUUAUUGCUAAAGUACUCAUCAAUAAAUGAGGUGAGCUGCCGUAUGCAUUUUUCCAAUUUGAUUAGGAACGUGUAGUUUCUUGUCUAUCUGGGGUGGAACCUACACCAGUGUUAGAACAACCAUUCAAGCACUUAGUACAACAGGCCCCAGCAUUCGGUCAAAAGAUAUGAAGCUCAGCAUUCAAUUAUAAAAAAUGAAGACCCCAGCAACAACAAUGAUCAAGUGAAUUCAAACUCCAACAGUUAUUCCAGAUUUAUCAUGAUGGUUAGUUAAUUUCAAAUGCAAUUGAGUCGGAUUCUCCCUUAGUAUAUAAUAAUGUAGAAUUAGUGUAGCUGCUGUGGAUUCACAAAAUAAAUAAAUAGAAAUAAAAAAAUAAAAAUAAAACUUCCACAGAUUAAGGGCUCAUAAUUUGUCGCAUAAUUAUUCUUGACAGGUCGUCAACCUGUGCAAUAAUAAAAUUAAACCUAAUUGCCAGUUAAAAUGACCAAAACCCAAUUCCAAGUACUGGAGCAGGGACUCUAGGUGUGCAAUGGGUUACUUGAUUCACCCUGUUCCCGAAGAGUUUGCUUGAUCCGAUAUACCCGAAUGGAAUGGUUAUUCCUUUUCACAAAUGAUUAGGAAUUUGUAGACAGGGCAAGUAGGGUCGUAUCCACAGAGACUGGGUAUAUUUGUUUCUUAAGAAAUCCAAAGUAACACAGGGGGUGAUUUUGUAGGAACGACGAUAAUUAAAUAAAUUCAAAUGAGAAAGUAAAAAUAAAUAAUUAACUAGAAAUUAAACCACAAUUUACUGAACUCAGGAUAACAAUAGUUAAAGGCCUCAAUUAAUUAAAAUAAGGAAACAAUCAAAAAUAAAAUAAAGUAGGUAAUUAAAAGUCAAAUGGCAAUCCACUACAAUCAAGGAAAUAUUAACUAAAGAUCUAGCCAAGAAAUAACUUCAGCAAUGGUUCACCUAAUCGAUCAUUGAUGCAAAGCAAUCCCAAUUAUUUACUAAUAAAUAGGUUAUAACUACCAAACAAGCGAUGGCAGUCAACCCCUCCUUACUGUGUCGGUGAUCAAGGUACGCCCGUUAAUCACUGCUCUAAUUGAGAAAUAAUCCUAGGUACGCCCGUAGAAUUUAAUUCCCCAACUGCCUUACGUAUUAGAGGAGCCCUAUUCUACCCAAAUAACACACUACCAGGGUUAUUUUAGAUUAGCCCGCGUAUCCCCCUGACACGAAUCUAAUCGUGCCAGUUGUCACUAAUUUGAGGUAAUUAAACAAUUACGGAUUCAAUACCCCAAUUGACAAUAGAUUAUCAAACCAAUGAAUUAUCCGGAUCCAAGACAAUCAACUAAUUAAAUAAUCAUAAGCACUGCAACCAAGGAAUAUGCGAAUACCAAUAAAUAAAGGAAAAGAUAAAAUUAAAUCGAUCUCACAAUUUACAGGUGACCCAAAGCAUCAGUCGUUUCUUGACUAGAACGAGGGGGUUAGCUCAUAUUGGAUGAACUAAGCCCGCGGGAAAUUCCAGCAAAAGUCACGGCCGUUGUAUGCAUUUCAAGAGCCGCAAUUCGUCAAACACUUGGAAAGCGAAUGUAAGGCACGGGUAACAAUUGAAACUUUCUAAUUGUUCCUAGCAUUCGUAAAGCAAAUUCACUCCAGAAGUACAGUGAGGAAAAGUCAAAGAAAGUGGGCUUCAAUUCCUUGCUCCUGACAUGCGUGGAGACAAGCCAAUGCAAGACUACAAUAAACUAACAAGGAAAAGUCAAGAAUUGGAGCUAAGCUCCCCUGCCAUGCGCAGGAAUCCCAAAAGUAAAAAGUAAAGCUUCAAAGAAAAGUCAACAAUUCUUCCUAAGCUACAGACGGAAGAUCCAGCACAAAAGCCAGCUCCCUUUUUGAUCCCUUUUUCCCCCUUCUUAUUGCGGCGGCUCACCAGGAGAGGAGAGCCCUCCGUCCGUCCUUUCUUCCGGAAAUUACCAAAAUGGGCAUGACAUCUUCUCUUCCAAAAGUGCCCCUGGGACAAGCUUUCUCAUCUGAAUUCUUUUUUUUUCCAAUUUGGCACCUGUUAUCAUAUUUAUAUUCUACUCCCUGAAAUAAACGUCAAAUACUAAAAGUGAGUAGAAUCCAGCAAAUAAAUCCACAUCAAGUCAGGUAAUAGGAGGAAUUAAUAAUAAAAUAAAUGAAUAAAUUGCACCCUAUCAAUUCCCUCCACACCUAAACCAUGCUUGUCCUCAAGCAUAAGAAAAGUAAACGAACACCAAAAUUCGACGAUAGCCAUUGCCCAAUCUCCUAUAUUGCCAAGACAUUCAAGAGAAAAACACAUAUCGAGCAUUGGUGAUUAGAAUCCCAGAAGCAUCCCCCCGGUUAGCCCUUAAACUGCAAAUUCCUUCAAUUUCCAGGUUAACUAUUCUAAGAAAAAGGAAUGGCACGCAACAUUUAUCAGCUAAUGGUCCAAAUAUUCACACAAGUCCCCAUAUUAAGUCCAUAAACCAGCAAGAUCUCCUAUUAUUUAUUCUCUUUUUUUUUUCUUUUUGUGUGUUUUUUUUUUUCUUUUUUUUUCUCUUUUCUUUUUUUUACGUUUUUUUCAAGCAAUAAUAAUAUUUGACACAAGAAGACUUAGUCUCUAGCCGCCGGAGCCUUUUGACGCGAACUCCAUCAUUUUUAGAUGAAGGAGCCCGGUUACUCAGCUUCUGCCGCUAUACGACCACGUACUCAUAGAAAGUACCACCUUUUGACGCGAGAAUCGACACUUUUAGGUGCAGAUCCCCGGUUACUCAGUAGUGACUAAUAGCGGAGUACAGUCCAGAUUAUUCACAGCCAAACAAAGCCAAAAACACGAAAUACCAACACUAGCAACUAAGCAUAGGGGCAGCUCGCCUCAUUAUUGCCAAACAUGGAGAACUGGAGUCAAUAUUGGACCAGUUCACCUUAAAAUGCCAACAGUCAUUCCCAACGCCUAGAAAAGUUAACAAAGAAAUCAAAAGAGCCAAGCAAUCCGAUAUUCACCAAGGAGAUAUCUUGGAUCCAACCACAUCAACCCGAUACAUACUUAUUUUAAAAACUUGGCAAAAGUAGAAUUAGAGUCAAUGAGCCAACAUCCAAUCAAUUUUUUUCUCUUUUCUUUUUCUGUUUUUUUUUUCAGGAGAGAUAAGCACCAAGCAGAAAGAAAGAAAAUGAGCAACUAGAAAUAAAACUAAAAACUAAAGAAAACUAAAAACACUAGCACCCCAUUAGACCCCCCCACACCUAUAGGACACAUUGUCCUCAAUGUGACAAAUAACCAACAAAAGUGGGUGAGAGGACAGAAACACUUCCCUGAAAUCCGGUCAAAGAGGUGGGCGAGGUGGAGCUGGAGGAGGAAAGCCCGUAUGAUGCAGAAAUUGCGCCAAAUUCUGUGCUAUGCCCGCUACAUUGAGGUCGACGUUGAGCAUUCGAGCCUCCAAAUUCUGAACCCGCUCCUGGAGUUGUUGCCAUUCAGUUGACCCAUAUGGUGGAGGUCGCGCAGAAGAUGACGGCCCAGCGGUGUCCUCGGCCGACCCAGGGAAUGAAGAGUGCCCCGCCUGCGUUGAAGGCUGUGCACCCGGAGCUCGAACUGGGCCCGGAGGUGUAAACUGGUGGAAACCAUUGGGUAGGCGCUCGACGACUCCCAUUUUCUCUAAGCAGUUCACGUCCAGGAGCUCCAUCUCGAAAGCCAAAUGUAAGUCGUGGUCCUCCAGACUAAGAACUCCCAACUCCACAGGGACUACCCCAGGCGGCAGACAGAGAAGCGGCGUUGAAGCUGGUGGUCGAGCGGGGCGACGCUCGCGUCGGCGUGCGCAGCGGCGACGGCGCGCGAGGAUGGAGUUUCGUGGGGAGGUCGCGUGCGGGCUUGGGCUGAAGACGCGGCGCGCGCUAGGGCUUCGCUGCGGCAGGGCGAGCAGGAGGCGGCGACUGGCGGCGCGCGGCUGGAAUUUCAACAGCGGCGGCGUCGAUGGAGAUCUUGUAGUGGCUGUGCUGCUCGGCGGCUGGCUGUGCGAGGAUGGGGGCUGCGUGCGGCUGCUCGCGGCUGGUGAUCUGGCGGUGGAGAGCAGCGGCGAAGGGCGGCGGCGGCUUGGGCUGGUCGAGCGUGCGGCGGGCGAAGAGAGCAGGAGAGCAGCAGGGGAGAAAGAAAGAAAAGAGAAAGAAAGAAAGAAAGAAAAAGAAAGGAAAGAAAGAAAAGAAAAGAAGGAAAAGAAAAAGGAAUUUUUCUUUUUUUUUUUUUUUUACUUUAGGCUACGGUUUAGAGGACAAAUUUUUCUUCUUCUUGUUUUCUUCUUUUUUAUUUUUUUUUUAGUUUUUAAUUUAGUAUUAUUAUUAUCAUAUUUAAUUGAGGAAAGAAAAAAAAAAUGUUUUUUUUUUUUACUUGAAUAAAUGAAAUGAUAAUAAUAGUUUUUCUAUAUUUUUCAUAUAUUUUUUUUAAAUCCCUACCUUUCCCGCGAACGUGACGCGGGCACGUCAAGAGGGCAGGAGAGCUCCCAGAAGUUUCAGAAUUUCCUGAUCGUGAGCGCCCUGCACGUCACCACGCGGGCACGUCAUGAGGACAUGAGAGCUCCCAGAAGUUUCAGAAUUUCCUGAUCGUGAGCGCCCUGCACGUCACCACGCGGGCACGUCAUGAGGACAGGAGAGCUCCCAGAAGUUUGAAGUUUCUGAUUCCUGCCCGUCAUCACGCGGGCGCGUCAUGACUGAAGGUCACCUACAAAUCAGCAAAAACGAAAACUAACACCCAAAAUCAGUCAAAUUCAGGGAAAGCAGAUUUAAACUAUGCUACAAAACCAACAAACAAUUAAAAGAAAUAAUUAGGUUGCCUCCCAAUGAGCGCCUUUCUUUAAUGUCUUUGGCUAGACAUGGUAAAGUGUCACUGAUUAGGACACGGUGGUGCGUCAAGCCUUAUUGUCUCCACCUCUCUACCUGAAAAUCCUUCGUAAUAAUAUUUGAGACGGUGUCCAUUCACCACAAUUUUGUUGUCUGUCUUAGCACUCCGGAUCUCAACUGCACCAUAGGGAAAAACACGAGUAACAAUGAAAGGUCCAAUCCAACGGGAACGUAGCUUACCUGGGAAUAGCUUGAGCCUGGAUUGGUACAGGAGGACCUUCUGACCAACCUCAAAUGUUUUUCUUGAAAUUUGUUGGUCAUGAAAUGCCCGGCUUUUCUCUUUAUAAAUCAAGGCGUUUUCGUAUGCUUCGUUCCGGAUCUCCUCCAAUUCUUGCAAAUCCAACUUCCGUUGAGCACCGGCCUCCUCUAAAUUCAUAUUGCAUUGCUUUAUCGCCCAAAAAGCCUUAUGCUCGAAUUCCACUGGAAGAUGACACGGCUUCCCAAAUACCAACCGGUACGGUGACAUCCCUAUAGGAGUCUUGUACGCCGUCCUAUAGGCCCAAAGUGCAUCUUCCAACCUUUGGCUCCAGUCUUUCCUAUCAGGGCGCACCAUUUUCUCUAAAAUGGACUUAAUCUCCCGAUUUGUCACCUCCGCCUGACCAUUGGUUUGAGGGUGGUAUGACGUUGAGACCCUGUGGAGUACACCAUACUUGCGAAACAACGCAGCUAUGGUUCUGUUGCAAAAGUGCGUUCCCCUAUCACUGACAAUAGCUUUAGGCAUUCCAAACCGCACAAAGAUAUUAGACCUGAUAAAAUCUGCAACUACUCUCGAAUCAUUAGUUCGAGUGGCCUUAGCCUCCACCCAUUUAGACACAUAAUCAACUGCUAGCAAAAUAUAUAAAAAGCCAAAUGAAGUAGGAAAAGGCCCCAUGAAAUCUAUACCCCAGACAUCAAAAAUUUCAACAAAAAUCAACGGGACCUGGGGCAUUUGAUCUCUACGGGCUAUAUUACCUACCCUUUGACAGCGAUCACAUGACUUACAAAACACAUAGGCAUCCUUAAAUAAUGAAGGCCAAUAAAAUCCACUUUCCAAAACCUUAUGAGCAGUUCUCUUAGGUCCAAAAUGACCUCCACAGGCAAAAGCAUGACAAAAAGCUAAAAUUGAUUGAAAUUCCACUUCACUUACACAUCUCCUCAUUAUUUGGUCUGCACACCUUUUCCAUAGGUACGGGUCGUCCCAAAUGAAGUACUUGGCGUCACUCUUCAAUUUAUCCUUCUUCGAUUUUGGCCAACCUGCAGGAAAAUCACCCGUUACUAGAUAAUUGACUAAAUCAGCAUACCAAGGCAAUUGAGAAUUUAAGGAAAAUAAAUGCUCUUCAGGGAAUGCAUCUUUCAAUGGCUCCUUAUCCUCCCCAAUUGGUAUGCGACUUAAAUGGUCUGCUACUAGAUUUUCUGAGCCUUUCUUGUCCUUUAUCUCCAGGUCAAAUUCCUGUAGUAGCAAUAUCCACCUGAUGAGUCUCGGCUUUGCAUCUUUCUUGGUCAUUAGGUACCUUAAUGCUGCAUGGUCAGAAAAUACAAUUACUUUAGCACCUAGCAAAUAUGACCUAAAUUUUUCCAAAGCAAAAAUAACUGCAAGAAGCUCCUUCUCAGUGGUGGAAUAAUUCAACUGGGCUCCAUUCAAGGCCCGGGAUGCGUAAUAGAUGACAUGAGCUGCCUUCCCUACUCUUUGCCCCAAUACAGCCCCAAUAGCAUGAUCACUGGCAUCGCACAUGAUCUCAAAUGGCAAAUUCCAAUCGCGGGGUUGGAUGAUUGGGGGUGAAGUCAGCAAUUCCUUCAGCUUGUUAAAGGCCUUCUCACAUUUGUCAUUGAAUUCGAAGGUCACAUCCUUUUGUAGAAGUUGGAACAACGGGGCUCCAAUUUUUGAAAAAUCCUUGAUGAACCUUCGAUAAAAACCUGCAUGUCCAAGAAAAGAACGCACCUCCCGCACACUCGCGGGGUAAGGUAAUGCAGAAAUAAUGUCUAUUUUAGCCUUGUCAACUUCUAUGCCCUUAGACGAUACAAUAUGACCCAGGACUAUUCCGUGCUCAACCAUAAAAUGACAUUUUUCCCAAUUUAGCACAAGAUUAGUCUCUAUACACCUUAUCAGGAUUAAUUGCAGGUUAUCUAAACACGUAUCAAAACUAUCACCAUACACACUGAAAUCAUCCAUGAAAACUUCAAUAAUUUUCUCCACGUAUUCAGAAAAAAUACUCACCAUACACCUUUGGAAAGUCGCAGGUGCAUUGCACAACCCAAAUGGCAUUCGUCUGUAGGCAAAGGUCCCGAACGGGCAUGUGAAAGUUGUCUUCUCUUGAUCCUCCGGGGCAAUUGCUAUCUGAAAGUAUCCUGAAAAUCCAUCCAAAAAGCAAUAAUAAGCUCUACCAGCUAAACGUUCAACCAUUUGGUCAAUGAAAGGGAGAGGGAAGUGGUCCUUUUUAGUGACGGCGUUCAGCCUACGGUAGUCUAUACACUGCCUCCAUCCAGUGGGUUUGCGCACUGGCACGAGCUCACCCGUUUGGUUGGCUUCUACCGUUACUCCUGCCUUCUUCGGGACUACCUGGACCGGACUCACCCAAGGGCUAUCAGAUAUUGCAAAGAUGAUCCCCACAUCUAGCAGUUUUAGAAUCUCUUUCUUUACAACUUCCAUCAUGAGGGGGUUGAGCCUUCUUUGAGCCUGCCUAACAGGUUUGGCAUCGUCUUCUAGCCUAAUCCGGUGCAUACAGAUGGCCGGGCUUAUCCCCUUAAUGUCUGCGAUUGUCCAGCCUAUCGCCUCUUUAUGCUCCCGAAGGACUCGGAUCAAUUUCUCUUCCUGGAUUUUUGACAGUGCCGACGAGAUAAUCACCGGGAGUGUCUCAUUAUCACCCAAAUAUGCAUAUCUCAGGUGCUCUGGUAGAGGUUUCAACUCCAGUACAGGUGCCUGCACCACAGAUGGCAAUACCCUCUGAUGAGGCUCGGGAGUAAAAAUAGGUAAGACUUCAUACCUUUUCCUGGUGGUCUGCAAUGAGUGUAAUGCACCUAUUGUGCAUUUUAAAUCCUCACUCCACUCCACCUGAGGAGUUGUCUCCAACUCGAGGUGCUUGGUUAAAGCCACCUCCAACUCAUCCCUGCCAUCAGUUUCAAACACUUCCUGCACUACAGGAUCAAUAGCACUCACAGAGAAAACUGAGCUAAAGUUGGAGUUCGAGGGGUAUUUCAUAGUAUCAAAAAUAUUAAAAUGCACAAUUUCCCCAUCAAACUCCAUGGACAAGGUACCCUUAUUAACAUCAAUUUUCGUCUGUGCAGUGCUCAUAAAAGGUCUACCCAAUAACAAAGGUGAGGGAUCAGGGGAGUGAUCAUCAUCCAUAUCCAGUACAUAAAAAUCAGCUGGAAACACCAAAUCAUUAACUUUUACCAAUACAUCUUCAACCAACCCAUCAGGAUAUGCAUUAGUUCGGUCAGCUAAUUGAAUGAUAAUUCCAGUUUCUUUUAAUGGACCUAAUUUUAGAGAAGCAUAGAUAGACUUAGGCAUGACAUUAAUUGAUGCUCCCAGAUCCAACAUGGCCCUUCUGAUCACAGUAUUACCUAUCCUACAGGGAAUAGUAAACAUACCUGGGUCCCCGCACUUCGGUGGGAGCUUUCUCUGCAGGACCGCUGACACAUUCUCCCCAACAAUAACCCGUUCAUCCCCUCUCAAUCGCCUUCGGUUGACACACAAGUCCCUUAGGAACUUGGCAUAUUUUGGUACUUGUUUGAUGGCGUCUAAGAGGGGGAUAUUUAUCUCAACCUUGCGAAAAAUCUCCAAGAUUUCCCUCUCCUUAUCCUGCUUCUUUGAUUUUUCCAACCUGCUAGGAAAAGGAGGCGGGUUAGUCCUAACUGUAAUUGUUGGGUCAGGAAGUACCUGUGGAUCUGCACCAUUGCUGUCCUCCCUUUCGAGCUCACUUUCGAUCUUCUCUUCAUCCUUGUCCUUGGGGAUCAUAGGCUCAGGCCCUUGAACUUCCUUGCCACUCCUCAAGGUCAUGGCGCUCACAUUCUUCGGGUUCAACUCAGGUUGAGAUGGCAAUUUACCUUGAUUUUGGGCAUCCAAGCGGUUGAUUGUUGUGGCCAGUUGACUUAUCUGAUUCCUUAUGUCCUGCAUUUCGGAGUCCGUCCUUUGCUGAUGUUGCAUAAUGGUUGCCUCCGUCCUUUGCUGAUUUUGCAUAAUAGUUGCCUCUGUCCUUUGCUGAUUUUGCGCCAUGGUUGUCAUCAUUUGUUUCAUCAUCUCCUCCAUAGAUGAACCGGAUUGAGGGGGCGGGGGUGGUCGGGGUUGGUAUUGCUGCUGGUACCCUGGUGGCUUAUUUGGCACAAAACUAGACUGCCUGUUCGGUGUAAAGUUGGGUUGCCUAUUCCCUCCAUAACUGAGGUUGGGAUGAUCUCUCCACCCGGGGUUGUAGGUGCUUGAGUAAGGGUCGUACUGCUUCCUUGGCGCGGGCGCGUGGUCAGCCAUGUUCACCUGUUCUGCAGUUUCUUCCUGAAUCAUUGGGCACAUGUCUGCAGAGUGGCCUAUACCAGUGCAAAUCCCGCAUACCCUGGCUUGUGAUGCAUUUCUCACAGCCUGUUGCCUAACAAAAGCAGUCAACUCAUUUAGUUGCUGCUGCACAGAGGGUGUCUCUAUCUCAUUCACCCUACGUAUUGGAACAUCCUCUCUUGUACUGAAUUGCUGUGAGUUCUCUGCCAUCCCCUCUAUUAACUCCCGUGCUUCCUGAGGGGUUUUGUUCACCAGUGCCCCUCCACUUGCAGCAUCAAUGAUGCUCCUGUCUCUAAAAAUGAGUCCCUCAUAAAAAUAUUGUAUGAUCAACUGCUCACUUAUUUGGUGUUGGGGGCACCUGCGCAACAAGUUCUUAUACCGUUCCCAAUACUCGUAAAGUGACUCCCCUGGAUGCUGUUUGAUCCCACAAAUUUCUUUCCUUAGACUUGCAGCCCUGGAUGCAGGAAAAUAUUUAUCCAAAAAUUUUUUCAUCAAUUGGCCCCACGUGGUGAUGCUACCUGGUGACAGGUAGUACAGCCAGUCCUUCGCAGAAUCUUUCAAGGAGAAGGGGAAUGCCCUCAUUUUUAUCUGCUCUUCUGUGAUUCCCGGGGGUUUCAUACUGUUGCAAACAACAUCAAACUCCUGCAGAUGCUUAUACGGCUCUUCACCUGGUAAACCAUGAAAAGAGGGUAAAAGCUGAAUCAGACCAGAUUUUAGUUCAAAUGGAAUGUUGUCAUUUAAAGCGGGGAAAGUAAUGCACAAAGGCUGCUGAGUUAAAUCAGGAGCAGCCAACUCCCUUAAUGUUUGUGCAUUAGCCAUGGUUCCUUCCUCCUGGUCAGAGUCACUUGAAGUGUCACCAAACGAAUCUGUUGGUUCAACUUCUGACUCGGGUCUUUGAGAUGUAGCCCUGGUGUGCUCUUCUCUGAGUUGUCUGGUUUCCUUUCUCGUUCUACGCGCGGUCUUCUCUAUCUCGUGGUCAAAAAUCAAAUCACCUGUACGAGAAGAUCGAGGCAUACACUAGAAGAAGACCAGAAAACUAGGACAAAAUUGAAUUUAAAAAUAAACAAAUAAUAACGCCAGUCCCCGGCAACGGCGUCAAAAAUUGACAGGUCGUCAACCUGUGCAAUAAUAAAAUUAAACCUAAUUGCCAGUUAAAAUGACCAAAACCCAAUUCCAAGUACUGGAGCAGGGACUCUAGGUGUGCAAUGGGUUACUUGAUUCACCCUGUUCCCGAAGAGUUUGCUUGAUCCGAUAUACCCAAAUGGAAUGGUUAUUCCUUUUCACAAAUGAUUAGGAAUUUGUAGACAGGGCAAGUAGGGUCGUAUCCACAGAGACUGGGUAUAUUUGUUUCUUAAGAAAUCCAAAGUAACACAGGGGGUGAUUUUGUAGGAACGACGAUAAUUAAAUAAAUUCAAAUGAGAAAGUAAAAAUAAAUAAUUAACUAGAAAUUAAACCACAAUUUACUGAACUCAGGAUAACAAUAGUUAAAGGCCUCAAUUAAUUAAAAUAAGGAAACAAUCAAAAAUAAAAUAAAGUAGGUAAUUAAAAGUCAAAUGGCAAUCCACUACAAUCAAGGAAAUAUUAACUAAAGAUCUAGCCAAGAAAUAACUUCAGCAAUGGUUCACCUAAUCGAUCAUUGAUGCAAAGCAAUCCCAAUUAUUUUAUAAUAAAUAGGUUAUAACUACCAAACAAGCGAUGGCAGUCAACCCCUCCUUACUGUGUCGGUGAUCAAGGUACGCCCGUUAAUCACUGCUCUAAUUGAGAAAUAAUCCUAGGUACGCCCGUAGAAUUUAAUUCCCCAACUGCCUUACGUAUUAGAGGAGCCCUAUUCUAACCAAAUAACACACUACCAGGGUUAUUUUAGAUUAGCCCGCGUAUCCCCCUGACACGAAUCUAAUCGUGCCAGUUGUCACUAUUUUGAGGUAAUUAAACAAUUACGGAUUUAAUACCCCAAUUGACAAUAGAUUACCAAACCAAUUAAUUAUCCGGAUCCAAGACAAUCAACUAAUUAAAUAAUCAUAAGCAUAGUAAUUAGGGAAUACACGAAUACCAAUAAAUAAAAGGGAAAGAUUAAAUUAAAUCGAUCUCACAAUUUACAGGUGUCCCAAAGCAUCCGUCGUUUCUUGACUAGAACGAGGGGAUUAGCUCAUAUUGGAUGAACUAAGCCCGCGGGAAAUUCCAGCAAAAGUCACGGCCGUUGUAUGCAUUUCAAGAGCCGCAAUUCGUCAAACACUUGGAAAGCGAAUGUAAGGCACGGGUAACAAUUGAAGCUUUCUAAUUGUUCCUAGUAUUCGUAAAGCAAAUUCACUCCAGAAGUACAGUGAGGAAAAGUCAAAGAAAGUGGGCUUCAAUUCCUUGCUCCUGACAUGCGUGGAGACAAGCCAAUGCAAGACUACAAUAAACUAACAAGGAAAAGUCAAGAAUUGGAGCUAAGCUCCCCUGCCAUGCGCAGGAAUCCCAAAAGUAAAAAGUAAAGCUUCAAAGAAAAGUCAACAAUUCUUCCUAAGCUAAAGACGGAAAAUCCAUCACAAAAGCCAGCUCUCUUUUUGAUCCCUUUUUCCCCCUUCUUAUUGCGGCGGCUCACCAGGAGAGGAGAGCCCUCCGUCCGUCCUUUCUUCCGGAAAUUUACCAAAAUGGGCAUGACAUCUCCUCUUCCAAAAGUGCCCCUGGGACAAGCUUUAUCAUCUGAAAUCUUUUUUUUCCAAUUUGGCACCUGUUAUCAUAUUCAUAUUCUACUCCCUGAAAUAAACGUCAAAUACUAAAAGUGAGUAGAAUCCAGCAAAUAAAUCCACAUCAAGUCAGGUAAUAGGAGGAAUUAAUAAUAAAAUAAAUGAAUAAAUUGCAACCUAUCAAUUCUUGUGAAACUUUCGGCAUCCGACUGUUGAAGCUCAACUUUGGCAGCAAAACCAUAUCGCUAAACUUAGAAAUCGUAGUCAUUUGAAAUCUAACUUUGAAGUAAAUGUCUUGAGCUACCAUUUUUUCUGCAUUCCUUUGAAGUAAAGGAUAGUAUUGAUUUAUGGGUACAUCAAUUUAUGCACAAAAGUUACUCUUUUUAUGGGUACAUCAUUUUCCUUUUUCCCAUCACACUUUAUUUUCCCGACAACCAUUCAGACAGUUUCAGAUUAAAGGGCUCCAGCAUUUACUCAAAAUUUUUUUUUUUUAAAAAAUGAAGGCCCCAGCACCAAAGAAUAAUUGAGAAACUCAGGUGAAAUUGCCAAGUAACUUCCAAUGCAAAAGCAUCCGAUAAUGUUUUAAGUUUAUCUAUCUCUAAAAUGAUUAACAGAUUAGGUGAAUGACCAUUUUCCUUUUUCCCAUGUCUUUGCCAUCACACUUUAUUUUCCCGACAACCAUUCAGACAGUUUCAGAUUAAAGGGCUCCAGCAUUUACUCAAAAAAUUUAAAAAAAAAAAGAAAAAAAGAAGGCCCCAGCACCAAAGAAUGAUUGAGAAACUCAGGUGAAAUUGCCAAGUAACUUCCAAUGCAAAAGCAUCCGACUUUGAUAACCUUUUUCUGGAAAGCCAUUUUGGCUUAAAAAAAUUUCGCAAGCACAUUUUUUAAUUAUUUUUAUAUCUCGUAUAUAUUAAAUUAUUAUAAUAUUUUUUUUAUAAAUACUUUAAAAAAUAGCAAUUCAAAUGAAAAAAAAAAAAAGCAUUCCACUUCGACGUAGAUUGAUGACUUUCAAUUGGUUACAUCAUGAACCAUUUUUUUUCUUGUCAACGGACUAGCCCUGCAUUUGGGAGGCAAGAAAUGAUAAGAAAAGAAAAGUUUUGGAUGGAUACAUAUCAAUUUCUGUCAUUUGGGAGAAAGGGUGGGAAAGAAAAUAAAAGAAUUGGACAGAUUUUGAUUUCCCUCCAGAGUAAAAAAUGGUAGGAAAUGGAGAAGCCUACAGUAUACUUUCACAAUAUGACAGUUUUACCCGUAAAAAGUUUCUAGGCAAAGUUGAAAGCUUCAGUAUUUCGCCUUUCUGAUGAUGAAGACGAUUGAACUAGACUUCAAUGUCUUCAUACCGAAUGUAGAUAUAUCUCUUAAUCCAAUACUUGUAACUCAAAAUAUUGCCAAAAUAUGGAAAUAUAUUAAAACUGAAAAAAUUUGCUUCCUUUUGUUCUUGAUUGCUGCACUUCAUGUCUUCUUUUCAUCACUUCAAAUCAUCAUCAAUCAUCUAGUUAUCUUCUCAAUUCAUACCCUCUGAUGAUUGAAUUAUUAAACCUACAAAAACAUAAAGUUUUUACCAUUAAAAUACAUAGAAAUGCAACUUUUACCAUUUAAACCACAAAAUGUAUAUUUUUACCAAAAUCCUAAUUAAUUAGUUAUAAAACUAGGUAAAACAAACUAAAAUUAACCAGUAAAAUACACUUAAAAACAUGUAAAAUAUACUCUUGUCAGGCUCCUUAUUUGUCACAUAAUUAUCAUCAUUUCUUGUACCGAAACAUAGUAGUCGAAGUUGAGUUGGACCAUGGGGAUGUUAAUGUAAGCAUAAAUAUCUCAUGUGAUUAGGGUGGUUGUACACCUUGAGUGCAUCCAAUGUACAAUUCCAGCAUGGAUUUGUGUUGUAAUUAACAUAUGCAAAUAAUGGAACUAAUAUUAUGGACCAUUAACGUUUGUAUACGGAGCAUUUAAGAACCAUUCCUUCCCCAACUCAUCGGAAGACUCUUCUUCCACUCAAUUUCUGUGAUAAUUGGUAAGACAUUGGUACUCAUGCUGAUGCCAAAUUGGUGCAAAAUUUGAAUUUGGUCGGUGAAGCAGUACCUCCAAAGGACUAACAAAUGAGGUGAAUUCCCAUUUAGUCUUUUUCCAAUUCGAUUGUGAUCAUAGUUUAUUGUCCCUCCUGGAUGGAACUUUGAGUUACACCACUUUUCCAAUAGUCAUUCAGAUAUAUUCAGAUUAAAGGGUUCCGGCAUUCAAUCAGUAAAGAUGAAGGCCCCAUCAACAACACUGAUUAAGAAAAUUCAGGUAUGUACAAUAUUAAGCACGAAUUUGUGUUGUAAUCAAUGUGCAAAUGAGAGUCACAUUAUGGCUAAUUUCUUGGCCAUAAAUUUUCUCGAGCCACAAAAGUUACUCCUUAUCAAAUUUCACAAGCGAGACAGUUUGACAAAAACAAGGAAUAUGUAAUUGUGGAUGUCCUUCAAUGCCUUGUUUGGAAAGCCAUUUUCCCUCAAAAAAAUUUCUAUCUUUUUUCAUAGGCAUAUUUUUUAAUUACUUUUUAUCUCAUGUAUACCAAAUUGCUAUAGCAUAUUUUUCUACAAAUACUCUAGAAAAUAGCAAUCCAAAUGGAAAAGAAGCAUUCCACUUCGACGUGGAUUGAGGACUUUCAAUUGGUUACAUCAUGAACCAUUUUUUUUCUUGUCAAGGGACUAGCGCUGCAUUUGGGAGGCAAGAAAUGAUAAGAAAAGAAAAGUUUUGGAUGGAUAUAUAUUAAUUUUUGUCAUUUGGGAGAAAUGGUGGGAAAGAAAAUAAAAGAAUUGGGCAGAUUUCGAUUUCCCUCCAGAGUCAAAAUAUUUUCCGCCCAAAAUUGGGCUGAAAUGGUAGGAAAUGGAGAAGCCUAAAGUAUACUUCGACAGUUUUACCCGUAAAAAGUUUCUAGGCAAAGUUAAAUUUCCUUGACUUCUAGCUUCCUUAUAAAAGCCCCAAUCAAUAAAAAAAAUUCAUCUCUCUUCCUUCUCUUGACCACUAACACUCUGGUGGACCGAAAAUAGAGAAACUAUUUGUGCCCUCUUUUUGCUUAAUGAAUUAAAUUUAAAAUUUCACAUGUUUUAGUUGUUUCCUGGAUACUGGUUGUGCUUUUUCUUAAGUACUUGAUAGAUCAUUCUUGGUCUUCUACCUGAUUAUAUGAAUAAUUAUACAGCUUCAAUAAUUUUUCAAAAUUAUCCCUCUUCAAUAAUAUCUAACAAGCUCUUGACCUGCUAAAUUUCCUUUGGCUUAAAGGUGUGUGUUUAAACCCGAAGCUGUCAGUUUCAUUGCAAUUAUUUACUCUAGAAGAACUUUUUAAUAUAAGGGCACAGUUGUAAAAGUAAAGAUAGACAAUUCUUUCUUUUCACUUCUCUCGUCUUAAACAAAAAAAAAAAAAAUCAUUUCUUUUCUUUUUCUUUUUUAAGUUCCCAAACAACAUUGAAGGAAACUUGUCUAGUUUAAUUAGUCAAACAUUCUUUAUGUUUAUAUAUAUAUAUAUAUAUAUAUAUAUAUAUAUAUAUGGCUCAAUCCCCCAAGAUACUGGACUAAAAAUUCCUAAUUUUGGCCAACUUGGAUAUAUAAACUUAAACGGUGAUGUGAGGUGAAAAAUUAGGGGCAAUAUGGUAGAACACUGGGAAUUGUAUGAUAAUUAUAGUUUAGAAGGAGUAAAUUAAUAAGCUGUUGACUUAAACCUGAAGGUGUUUAAAUUUCCUUUGGCUUAAAGGCGUUUAAACCCGAAGCUGUCAAUUUUGUUGCAAUUAUUUACUUUAGAAGAACUUUUUAAUAUAAGGACACGGUUGUAAAAGUAACAAGGUAGACAACCCUCUCCUUUCACUCCUCCCAAGUGUCAAACAAAACCAAAAAAAUCAUUUCUUUUCUUUUCUUUCCUAAGUUCCCAAACAACAUUGAAGGAAACUUGUCUAACUUAAUUAGUCAAACGUUCUUUAAUUCUAUUUAUACAUGAUUGACAUGAAAUAUUAGUCAAAAGCCAACACUUAAAGCAAUGAUCUAAUCAUCCAAGUAAGCAUUGAUCCUUUCCCAGGUUCGUUUAACUUAUCUCAAAUAUCCACCAUUCCUAAAACUCCAUCGUUUUUUUCCAAGGCAACUCUAAUUUUUUUUUUCUUUACAAUUGCUUUGUAUUUAAUAUCAUAAUUUUAGGUUUGUGAUUUAGAAAUUUUUUGACAAUUAUUAAUUUAUCAAUUGUUCUUAUUCUAAAUUUAUGUCUUAGAAGUUUUAUGUUAAUUUGUAUAGGGUUAAUUUUUUUUAUUGAAUUUAGUUAAUAUUUAUCUAAUUUUGGUUUGUGAGUUAAUUUUCAUAUUUUGCUUUGGACUUUAUCUUUUAUUAUUAAAAAUAUUUAGUUGUUAGUAGAGGUGUCAAAAUGGGUGAUUUGGACGGGUUUGAGUUGGAUAAAAUGGGUAAUGGGUAUAAGUGAGUCAACCCAUUUAUACCCAUUUAAUUAGAUGGGUAUAAAUGGGUAAGUCAAAAAUUGGGUAAUCCAAUUACCCAUUUAUAACCCAUUUAUUUUAGCUUUUUGUAAAUUCAUUUAAAUUCAUUUUUGCAAACUAAGUUAUCAAUUUAUAUCAUUCUUUGCACCCAUCAUUAGUUUUAAAUAUUUAUUUAUAAUACUCAAUAAACUAAUUAUCAAUUUUUUCCAUCUGUACUCUAUGUUGCAUAAUUACAUACUAUUUAAUAGUUAAACAAUAAGAAUAUAAAAUUUUGAAUUAAGUACUAUAAAAGUUAACAUAAAAACUUAAUCCAAAAAUUUUGAACCUCUAACAUUUUUUCAUGUGUAAAUUUAAAAUUUCAUUUUGGAAAAGUAAGAAAAGAGGCUAAAACUUUUCAAAAAUUGGUAAUACUGAAAAAUGAGCAAAUUAACAAACUAAGAGAAAAUAAAAUGAUAAGAUAAAACCAACAAAUAAUAAUAAUAAUGAAACAAAUGUAGUUAACAUCAUGACAAAAUGAAAAUUUUGAAAAAAAAAAAUGGGUGGGGGAAGAGAGGAGGUUUUGGGGAAGACAAUUCUAAAUGGGUUAAUUGGGUUUGAUGAGUUACCCAGUAAUAUCCAUUUAUUAAAUAGGUAUUAUUGGGUAACCCAUAUGUAAAAUUUUAAGAUACCCAGACCCAUCUAUUCAUGGGCGGGUAUGGGUAAACUUAAUUAAAUGGGUUUGUUUGACAGCUAUAGUUGUUAGUUAUCGUCUAUUAAACUUUGGUUUUAAAUUUUUUAUUUCAAGUUAAUGUGCAUUAUUUGUUUUGAUUUUUUUUUUUUGUCACUUGUUGUUUGAUCUUUCGCCCCCCUCUUCCCCAAACCAAAAUCCUACAUUCAUCAUUGGUUAUCUUUAGUGAGCUAUAAAAUAAUUUAUUAUUGCAGGGUUUGUGACAAAAAUAACGGAAGGAAUGUCCUAGAAGGAGCUGGAAAAUCACAGAAGGAGCUGUCCUAAAAGCAUGAUUUGGAAAUGUGUAUAGUGAUGAAUUCUUUAAUGUAAAUGUUGCCGAACUCAUGAAGUUGAAUUAGUUCUUUGUUUUUGGUGGAUUGAUUAUUUAAAGUUUUGCCACUAUUGUUGAUUCUUUUUCUGGCUUAACACAAAUCUUCGGUAAUAAGCGUAGAACGAACGUUGUUUUAUAACUCUUUGUAUUUGGAAACUGCUGACAUGUUCGCUUUUGGCUGAGCUGUAGUAGAAAGAAUCUCCCUGAAUGAUGUGGACUUUAUCUUAAUUGGUUACAGCUACCGAAGUUUGUUCUGAAGUUAUCACUGAUUCAUGAUAGGAUGAGUAAACAAGGAGAACUAAUUCUGGCUUCUGAAUGAACCUAAAACGAGCACUGUGAACUAAAUGUUGUUGGAUUAGGGGUGCAAACGAGGUAAAUCGAGUCGAGUCAAGUUUUGGUUUAAUUGACUCGGGUCUCAACUUAGUGUUAUAAAACUUGAACUCGACAAUCUUAAAAUGUAAAGUUUGCGCUCGAGUUUAAAAAAAAUAUAUAUAAUAUUAUUUUAUUUUUAAAAAAUAAAUAAAAUAAUAAUUUUUUAACAAAUAAUAAAAUAUUAGGAACAUAUAUGUAUAUAGAUGUGUGCGUGUAAUCGAACUGGCUCGUGAAUUAACGAGCUAAAUAUGUUUGAGUUCAAAUUCGACUUGAUCAGCUCGAAUUUGAUUAGAGUUGCUCACGGGGUUGGGGGGUGUUGGCAUCUGCAUCACCUGUAAAGUUUCGCAUUCGACCUCGCGUACAUCAUUCACGUUUGUACGCCUUUGGUUGUGGACUAAAAUGUUCAAUAUAUUACUCUCAUUAUGAACUCGAUCAUGUGCAUUGAAGUUCAAUACUGAGUAUAUUCUAUCGUUGUAGAAUAUAUGAUUGUUGGUUUGAACAAUUCUUAGUUUAUCACCAAGGCUGUGAAAUCACUGUUGAAAGGUUACGACUGGUGACUCGUAAUCAGAUGGUACUUUGCUUGUGCUUAAUCAGUGGCUGCAACAUAGUAGCAUAUUUUUGUUCCUUUCUCCACCAUACCAAAUCAACGCCAAAUGUCUAAAUGGUGUUGUGGGUACAUUGGUGAGACAAUUUACUAAAAGAUUGAACCAAGGCAUUGAAAAGCUUUAUCGAUCGGUUCAAGUAGGAUGAUGUUUCUUUUUUGUUUGUACUGACCCCUUCCUUCUGUUUAGCUUACAAUAUUGCAUGGAUCUAAUUGGGCUGCUGCUUCUGAUAUGAUCCCAAAAGUACAUACUUUCCAGGGUGGCAGAUGAAUAUUUCUCGAGUUGGAGUUGAAGCUUAUCACUCAAUGUGUAGCUACUCUGCAUAUGAUCCUUCUUUCCUAUCUCUCUCUGUUUCUUUCUUUUGCUUCAUUGAAGCGGUACCUCCAAGGUGAAUUCCCAUUUAGUCUUUUUCCAAUUUGAUUGUGGUCAUAGGUCAUUGUCCCUCUUUUCCAACAAUUCAUUCAGAUAUAUUCCGAUGAAAGGGUUCCAGCAUUCAAUCAGUAAAGAUGAAGGCCCCAUCAACAACACUGAUUAAGAAAAUUCAGGUGAAAAUGCAAAGCAACUUCAAUGGCAAAAGCAAAUCACCUGCGCUUCUGAACACGGAUUGAGGGCUUUUAUAGUCCAUCACACGAUUCUUGUUAUUUUUUGUUAAUAUUAGAAGUAAACAUGCAUCUACGUGAACUAUCUCACUGAUUGUACACCUUCAAUGCAACAAAUGUACAAUUUAAGCACGACUUUGUGCUGUCAUCAAUAUGUAAAUAAAGGUCACAUUGUGGUUAAUAUUUUCCUUAAUUUGCCUCAUGCAGCUAUGCCUAAUAAGAUUCACUUUGGAAAAGCAUCAAUGAGAAAAAGGUGAAGACCCCAGCAACAAGCCAAGCACCUUUAUUCCUUUGGAACCUAAAGCAUCCAGCUAUGCCAACGAAGCACUGCUCUACACGAAUUGACGGCUCAUUAUUUCUUGUUACCCAUAAAUAUCUCACUGGUUAGUGUGAAUGCAGCAAAUUACAUUUGUAUGUACGAAAUAAGCAUGAAUUUGUGCUGUAAUCAAUAUGCAAAUGAGAGUCACAUUAUGGUUACCCCUUAUCAAAUUUCAUAAGUGAAACAGUUUGACAAAAACAAGGGAUAUGUAACUGUGGAUGUCCUUUUGAUGUGAAGAUUGAAGCAAAUGCAUCUUUCAAGUUACUAAUCCCCAGACUUCAUUGAUAAAAAAAAAAAAAAAAAAAAUUUAAGAAGGAAAGAGAAUUGGAUUGUAGGUCGAAAAUGGGACUUCAAUUCCCCAUGAAAGUGGAUACAAAAUCCUUGGUUUUAUAAAGUUUAAAAGGAUCAAGUCUGAAGAUUUUACAAUAGAAGCAAAUAUCUGACGAUUAUUUCGUUCAGAAAAUACACGUUCAAGUAAUUUGAGAUCACAAGUUUGUUUAUUGAGACACAAAGCUAUAAACCAUCCACUUAUGUCUUUAUUCUUAACCAGCCAAGAAGCAAAGUAGCUGGUCCAAAAAGAAGAUUCCCUGUUUGUUUGUAACACAGGUUCCUUUACCUAAUAGAAUUACUACUACAGUUUAGUUUAAUUUUCAAUGCUUGAGGCUCGCACUAUAGAAUAAAGCAGUAGCUCUAGAAGUCUUACCUUAGAAGCACUUCAAAUUCUUUUCUUCUCCAAACAUUUCUGCUUUUAGCUGCUGAAGCUGAAGAAUUCCUUCUUAUCUCAUUCCAAAAUCCAUCCUGAUCACCACCUUAAUUGAUUCUUUUCUUCUAAUUUCAAUCCCAAGCACGAAAAAAAAUGGCCGAUGCAGCUAUUAGCGCUACUAUUCAGGUUGCAUUGGAGACGGUUAUUUCCCUUGCCGCUGAUCGUGUUAGUUUGGUUCUUGGAUUCGGAGAGGAGUUGGAGAGACUAUGCCACACUGCAGAAACCAUCCGAGGUAUCCUGGCUGAUGCGGACAGGAAAAUGCAUAUCCUCGGGGUGAAAAAUUGGCUCGAGCAGCUUGAAGGAGAGCUUUUUAAAGCGGAGGAUGUGCUGGACGAGCUCAACUAUGAAAAUCUUCGUCGGGAGGUGAAGUAUAGAAAUCAACUCAAGAAAAAGGUAUGCUUCUUCUUCUCGCACUUUAAUACAAUUGGUUCUCGUUCAAGGUUGGCUUCAAAGAUCAGGGACAUCAACUUGAACCUAGAAAGGAUCAAUCGGCAAGCAAAUGAUGUGGGACUGGUCUUCCGGUUCCAAAUUGAAGCCGCACUCCCUGCUGCUACAGGUGCCACAACAAGCAGACAAACCGACUCUAUUCUCGUUCCAAAUGUUGUAGGAAGAGUUGACGAUGAAUCAAAGAUUGUGGACAUGUUAUCGAGCCCAUCUGAAAAGGUUCUUUCUGUUAUUCCCAUAACAGGCUCAGGAGGUUUGGGAAAAACAACUCUGGCGAAAUCAAUCUACAAUAAUCCAAAAAUAGAUGGGCACUUUGGCCAAAAAAUUUGGGUUUGUGUGGCUAAAGAUCAAAUUAAGAUAAUGGAGCUGUUCAAGCUCAUUUUAGUACAAUUGACAGGAGAAGAAGUUAAAGUGGAUGACAGGGAUGUUAUCGUUAAAAAAAUUGGAGCAAAGCUCAAGGGACAAAGAUAUUUCCUUGUUCUUGAUGAUGUGUGGGAUCAUGACCAAGGAUUGUGGAAUGAUUAUUUCAACACUUUGAUGGGACUCAAUGAAGCCAAAGGAAGCUGGUGUCUUGUCACCACUCGUCUGGUACCAGUGGCAAAUGCUGUGUCUAGACCUCUGAAGAUGAAUGAUGGUCCUUAUUUCUUAGGAAAGCUACCAGACAAUGAGUGCUGGUCUAUCCUGAAAGAAAUGGUAAUUGCAGGGGAAGAAGCACCAACAGAAUUGGAAGCAAUAAAGAAUCAGAUUUUAAGAAAAUGUGAUGGCUUACCAUUGGCAGCAAAGUUAAUUGGAGGUUUGUUGGUUAACAAGGAGAAAGAGGAGUGGAAAUCUAUCGUGAAGGAGAGUCAAACUGAUGAAGAUCAAGAUGAGAUUGAUCAAAUACUUAAGGUGAGUUUUGAUCAUUUGUCACCUGCAUCAGUUAAAAAAUGUUUUGCAUAUUGUUCAAUUUUUCCCCAGGACACUGAAUUGCGAGAAGAUGAACUAAUUCAGCAUUGGAUGGCGGAAGGUUUUGUUCAACCAGAUCGCCAAAACCAAAGAUUGAUGGAGGAAAUAGGAGGCGAGUAUUUGAGGAUUUUGUUACAAAAUUCCUUAUUGGAAAAAGUAGAAGAGUCUUGGAGAACAUAUUAUAAAAUGCAUGAUCUCGUGCAUGAUUUUGCAAAAUCAGUUCUCAAUCCUAAAACCAGCAGCCAGGAUCGCUACCUUGCAUUACACUCAUAUGAAGAAAUGGCAGAAAAUGUCAGAAGGAAUAAAGCAGCAUCAAUCCGCUCGUUAUUUCUCCAUCUAGAGGGUGGCAUAUCUGCUGACAUGUUGUCAAGGUUCAAGCACUUGCAUGUUCUCAAAUUGUCUGGAUAUCAUGCCAAGUUUCUGCCGAGCUCUAUUGGCAAACUACUACGUCUGCGGUUGCUCGACAUUAAAUCUUCUGGAAUCAGAAGUUUGCCGGAAUCUCUUUGCAAGUUAUAUAAUUUGCAGACACUAACGAUUAAUGAUUAUGCACUUGGAGGAGGUUUUCCAAAACGGAUGAGCGAUUUGAUCAGCUUGCGACAUCUAAACUACUACCAUGAUGAUGCAGCAUUGAAAAUGCCGGAGCAGAUGGGACGAUUGACUUGUCUUCAAACUCUAUGGUUCUUUAAUGUAAGUCAGGAGAAGGGUUGUGGCAUCGAAGAGCUUGGGACCUUGAAAUAUCUGAAAGGAUCGUUGAUUAUAAGAAAUCUUGGACUAGUGAAGGGCAAAGAAGCAGCUAAACAAGCAAAAUUGUUCGAAAAGCCAGAUCUGUCUCGCUUGGCGUUUGAAUGGGAGAUUGGGGAUCGGGAAAGCGAUAACCGCGAGGAGGAUGUGUUGGAAGGUCUCCAACCUCACCCAAAUUUGCAAGAGUUGGGAAUUCGUUCUUUUAUGGGUAAUAAAUUUCCACAAUGGCUUAUCAAUUUGCCAAAAUUGGAGACAUUGCGGAUAGAAGACUGCAAGAGAUGCAGUGAACUCCCAUCCCUCAAACGUCUCUAUUUGGAGGGAUUGGACAACAUUCGAUUUAUUGGAGAUGAAUUCUACGGUAUUACUGCUAAUGAGGAGGAGGGCAGAUCACGAGCAUCAGGGAGUAGCAGUAGAAGGCGAAAAUUCUUUCCUGCCCUUGAAGAAGUCCGUGUAAGGUAUAUGGAGAAUUUGGCAGAGUGGAAGGAUGCAGACCAAGUGAGGUCAACAAUAGGUGAAGCAGAAGCAGAUGUCUUUCCCGUGCUGAGGAAUUUUCGCAUUGAAAGUUGCCCCCAGCUGAUCACUCUUCCAUGCUCGUGUAAAAGUCUACACGUGGAGAAUUGUGAUAAUCUAACAAGUAUAAAAACGGGUUACGGCACUGCUUCUGUUGAGGUGUUGAGUAUCGACUCUUGCGACAAUCUUAGGGAGCUGCCGGAUCUGGAUCUGUUUGGAUCGAGUUUGCAGCGAUUGACCAUCGCAAGUUGCCCAAGAUUAAUUAGUUUAGGAGUAAAUGGACAGAAAUGCCCCCUACCAUGCCUUGAGGAAUUGAGUAUUUAUAAUUGCGCAGGGUUGACCACUAUAUCCGACAAAAUGUUCCAGUCAUGCCGGUCUCUGCGGUCCCUGUUGGUGAAGUGGUGCCCCAAUCUGGUAUCAUUUUCGCUUAAUUUGCAGGAGACGCCUUCUCUCGAGGAAUUCAACUUAUUCAGAUGUCCCAAAUUGAUCCCUCACAGGUUCAAAGGAUUUGCUUUUGCCGCCAGCUUAAGAAGAUUGAGCAUCAACAGUCCCUUCUCCUCAGAUGACUCCUCAGUCGAUGAUUUUGAUUGGUUUGGUUUAAGAUCUAUAUCAACACUCCGUGAGCUUCGAUUAGAAGGGAUGCCUCACACGGAGUCCCUGCCACACCAGCUUCAAUACUUGACUACCCUCACUUCACUAAGUCUCUUCAACUUUGGAGGAAUAGAAGUGCUACCGGAUUGGAUUGGAAACCUUGUGUCCCUUGAAACCCUAUCGCUAUCGAAUUGCGAAAACAAGUUUUUACCAUCCGAGGCCGCCAUGAGACGCCUCACCAAGUUAACAAGUGUUGAAGUUCAUGAAUGUCCUCUACUAAGACAACGAUACACUUCCCAAAGAGGCAUCUACUUGGAGGAGGAGAUUUCAACUUAUUUUGUAAGAUUUUCCUAUCUAAAGUUCACACUCAUAUAUAUAUGUGUAUAAAUUUUUUGUAUCUGCAUCUCAUUGACAUAUAUUUGCUCUUCAGUCUCUUGUACUCUUUUUCUCCAUCUCUUUCCUGCAAAGUUAUUCUCCGUAAUUAAUUCUCUUCUUUUGGGCAAACCUUGGUUUCUCUUCAAAGAUUAGUUUUAACAAAGCCUGGUUUUGAGCAAAUUGGAAGAGGCCAAAAUUCUGGAUUUUCUCUGCAUCUCGCCAUUGAAAGAUUUUGAACAUCUUAAAAACUCAACUUGUUACCUUCUAUUUGGCCAAGCAUGAAAUUAUUAGCAACGGUGCAUACACAAUUAGCCUCUUUGUUUGAAUGUGUUAGCAAAUGUUCCAUUGCAUGUGCAAUGCUAGAUGUGCAUGGGAGCAUUCAUCAUUUUUCUAUCACCGAUAUUGCCAGUCUGAAUGGACAACAUUAAAGCUAAUCAAGAAACAUUUGCGAAGAAAAAUCAAGAUACAAUUUGAUGUUCAAGUUACAAUAAUUUUGGAUGGUUGUUUGUUAUGUUUCACAAGUUUCAGAAGUUUAUACGUCACAAUUACCAUGCAGGCAAGCAGUGAGAGCGAAGAAGAAGAAUCGACGACAAUGAACUAGCAGGCAGGGACGAUGAAUGAAAAAGCAUUCAUGGUGCUCAAACAUCAGCUUCAUGGUGUUUCCCAUCGUUGUUGAAGAAAAAGAAGAGGUCAGGAGGUAUGUUGUGCAGAAAAGUGAUAAUGCAGCAUUUCUCUCCCCAAGAACUCUUUUCUUACCUCCAUCCAAUUUAGUAAAAGUACAAGGAAUUGGUGCAAGUUUGCUUUUUAGUAUGCUUGGGUCAUGUAAUUGGCCUAAAAACAGGGCAUUUUCCUGUACUUUUAUCUGUUUGUGAACUUUUACCCUAUGCCUACAGCUUAUCUUUUGCUCUUUAAGAUUUUUAUAUUUACUUGGUGCUAAACAUGUCUUUUGAUUGGGACAGAAUCUGGUCUUUUCCGAUUUUCUUGACUAGUUACCAGACCAUAAGUUUUCUUUGCUUUCAUUGUUUAUUAUAAUUGGAGGCAUACUGAAAUGUACCAUUGUGAUGCUUUCCAGAGUCUUAGGAGGCAUAGCUUAUGUUAUUGGACAAAGGACAGCAUCGUUUGUUGUUUCAUUUCUUACUAGAAUACCAAGGGACAGAAGUUAUUUUCAUUGACCAGACAGGGUUUGAAGAUGAAGGCAAUUAUCAAUGAUCUUUAUUAAUCUCAUUAGAUAUCAUUAGCUUUGAUGGAGGCUUCAUAAAUAGUUGGUUCUCCCCAAGUUUCUCAAACAUAAGGUUUUCAUCUUCUCCUACUCAGACUGGAGAAAGGAAGGUAACAAUUUAGCUUGUUCAUCUUCAGGGAAGUUUUGGUAGUUUUUUAAUCUGCAUUCUUGAUAUGUAUUUAGUAAAUCAAUUACCAAAACUUUUUUUUCCUGUCGUGUAGCAUGCUGAUUGCUGAACUGAAAAUGGCUAGUAGCAGGCCUGCAAAGUGUGAUAUGGAGGAAGAAUAAAUUGGGGGGAGGGGGAGGGGGGAAGCAUGGAAGCUGACACUGGAGAGCUAUCAACAUACAAUGCUUAUUUCAAUCAAACUGGAGUUGGUCUAUUGGUUCAGAAGGGAUUUCAGGCGAAGAGUUGGAUGCAUCAGAAUGAUGUGAUAAGUACAUCCUGAUAGUACGUUUUCUUCAGCUUUAUUUGGAAGUAAAAGUGCAUCUGGUGACCAAAUUUAUGACAUUUUCAUCUUUUUUUUUUAAAAAAAAAAUUAAUCAUUUAAUGGAGAGAUCAUAGAACUCUUGUUACUUUUCCUCUUCCAGAAAUCAUUUUUCGUUAUUUCUUUCGCCUCUUUUAGCUGCUUCCCUUUCAACUACCGGGUCCAAGAUUUCGAUUAAUCCAUUGCAAUCACCACAGGAUUUCUCCUGGUUGGUUCCCUUAUUUUCACAUCUCAUGACUGUUUGAUUACUUUUGGGCUUCUGAUAGAUUCAUCUUCUCUUUUUUCCAGGAUUUUUACACUGGGUGGGCUUGUUUGGGUGUUCUUCAGGGUUAUGAUGCUAAUUUCUUUGCGGCCGUAAGUUUACUCUGACUUCUUCAGUUUGUUUUCCUGCCUUGGUUAUUUCACAGCACUUGGUUUGUAUUUAUGCGUGUGUUUUCUGAUAUAUGUUUUGUUGCUUUUGGUUUUGCUUAGGCUGCCAUCUUUUGUGUUUGCCAUUUGUUAACUACUGUGUUUUUCCUGCUUGUCUUUGUUCAGGUUGCCUCAUCGGUCCUAAAUUUCUCAUUCAGUGAAAGUAAUGGCAGUAGAAGCUAAAGUUGCGCGCCUUCCAAUCCUUAAACAUCCUUUCCCUUUCUUUUGGCGUGAAUAUUACUUUAUAUUAGGUUAUCUCUAUGGUCUAACUACCGAACUACAUUGGAAAGUUCUUUUUUUUUUUUCCAGUUCAUUGAAUGUUAAUUUCUUGUAAUGUAAUGUUUUACAGUUUGUGCUCACCAAAUUGAACGGAGCUCAUGGAUGAAUUACAUAUGCUUUUGAAAUUCAGUACACUUAAAAAAUUUUUGUGUCUUAAAUUUUAUUUAGGACUGGUGUAUUUUGGGAAUAAAAAGAUAUAAAUCUCUUAAUUUUAAACUGAAUUUCUGUUUUUCUUCUGGGGAAAAUUUUAUUGUGAAACUUAGGUCUUAUGCUUGGGUAAAAUGGGUAACUAGAGAACAAGUGGUUCCAAGGCAAUCAAUUGAAGGAAGUGUGAAGCAAAAAACAGGAGAAAAGGCUGAUUAAACAACACCGAGUAACAAUGUUCUGUUAUGAUGGCUCAGAUACUAAGGGUCUUGAAAGCUACACAACCACCAUAGCUUACCAAGAUCGACAGUGAUUUCAUAACUCUGCCCUCCUUACUUUCCAUUUUCUUAUUUUCUGUAUAUUUUUUAUAUGAAUUUUUAACUGUGUACAUUUUUUUUUUUUAUGAAAGACAAUGUUUUGUCAUUCGAUUAUUUUGAACCAAAAUUGUGAAAUCGGUUAAUGUAUCAGCUUCUGAUUUUUAUAAGUUCUGUGAUGGGAUAUUUCAGGUUAUGAAAGCAGUUGAAGCUAUCGAAGGCUACUAUUAAGGCACAGGUUCUGAUUUUCUCUCCUGACCAUGCUUCAAUUUCCAAUGAGGUUGUUACUUGGCAUAUGAAUUUUACCAUUCAGUCAUCCGGGAAAAGGAUUAUUCACAUGUGGUUCUUAUUUGCUUGCAAGCUGUAAUUUGGGUCUUGUUGCCCAUAAAAUGCUUUCUAGAGUUGCAAAUCAGUGAGUUCAUGGUUUCAUUAGACUUAAUAGAUAAUGCAGAUAAGUUUCUCUUGAUUAUGUGUGUACGGUUCUGAGAUAAUUUUGUAUUAUUGUUUGAACUUGCUCUCAAGUCUCUUUUUCUAAACUACAUUAAAGCCAAGUCUUUGUUAGUAAAGGAUGUCCGGAAGAUUAGUUAUUGGCUAGUAGCCUGGUACUAGAGAAAAAUUUACGUCUUUUCUAUUUUUGGUUCCUGCCAUAUUGUUGUCUUUAGUUUGAGCUACCAAAGGCUACUACACAAGGUAGAAAUUUAAAAAAAAAAGUAUUUUCUUUUCUUCCUGGUUGAUUUUUCUAUCUUUGUCUACAAAAUAAUAUGCAUUCUGCUAUCUUGCCCCACACACUAUCAAAUGGGGAAACUUUCUCGUCUCAGAGGUGGAAACAUACAAAAGCGGAGAUUUGGAUCUGACAUUGGACCUAGCAUAGUAUCCUCUGCAUUCUAAUCUCAUUUUGUCACUUAGAAACUUUGUUUGGUUUUGAUUUGGGAAGCAGCAAAGUUCAUUUUAGAUUUGUCAUUAAGCUCUGUUGUUAUUUCUUUUGUGACCAUGUGACAGCACGCUGAUACGUAUUGUAUAUAUUGUUCUUAUCAGCAAAUUACAAUUUUUUGUCUUUUUUCUUUGCUUUUACCUGGUAUGUGGAUAGAUUGAUGUCCGGAGGUUGUAAAGAAUAGUAAUGAAAGAUUGCAUGAGUCAUGUCUUUUCUUUUUCUAGAUAUUGAAAAAGCAUAUCUGCAUUUGACACAAUUUGUCCCCAGGAUUUUGACGCUGACAAGUACUUAUAUGCUACCUUUUGCAGACCCCGUCCAAGGUUCCAGAGGGAGUAUGUUGAGCGCAAUAACAAGCUGUUGUACUACAUCCUUGAUUGCCUUAGCAUGGGUUCAUCAUCAAGGUGACGAUAUGUCCUGUUCCUGGCACCAUCAAGAUUGAAAGUUUGGAGAUCAGCAGCAAGGCCUUGUCAGUGAAUUUGAUACUAGAAAGUUAAUGCAGUUGAUGCGGCAAAAGCUAAUUGAUAUACCUGAUUUCAUGGCUGAAACUUGAUUUCUCACUUUUGCAUUUUUUUUCCCUUCUUUUGAAUAAUGUACAUUCCUGGGAACACUUGACCAAUUAGGAAUGUGUUAGGAUGAUUGGUGAGAAAGCUUCUUUUUUUGGAUGAGGUAAAAACUUUUGUCAGUGAGCCAAUAUGCAUUAGGCAAGAUUUAUCAAAGAUGCUUUGCACUGCAUCUGUCUCUGUUUCUAGUAGAUUAUUUGUUUGAUUUGACUGGAAGCAGUGUGUCAUUACUAUAAUAGCAUGGGGCGAUUGAACAACGAAUGACAAAUAAGUCUAUAACAGCAUGUAAAUAUUCAACGAAUCAAAGAACAAAGAAAAUUAGAAUUUUGAGAGAGUUAUUAGAACUAUUGUGACGGUGCAAAUAGUUCCUUUUAAAUUGCAAAUAGAAUUAUACAAAAUAGAAUAUAGGCAGGAAAUGAGAAAGAUUCCUGAUAAAAUUUUGUAAAACAGAGUAGAAGGAAGAAAUGGAAAAGAUUCUUGAUGUAGCAAAGAAUGAUAAUAAAAUAAAAGAACGUCCUCUGAUCUUAUUAAAGCUAAGAUUAAAUCAAUUGAGUGUUUGAUAACUUGGAUAUAUACGGAGAUGGGCAAGUAAAGAAGUUUGUGUUACCAUUUAUGCCUCCUAGUCGAAAUGUCAUCUACGUCAACGUCGUAGACAAAGAAUGUCUCGUAGGCUAUGUUGGAACAUGCAGCAAGCAAUAGCUUCUCGUGCCAAAUUGUAUGAAUUUGUAUUUAUAACUAGUUGAUGUUGACAGAAAAUUGCUCUCUUACGCCGUAAGAAGUCUUCCGAAUGCAAUAUGCAUAUGUGUUUAUACAGCUAUACGAAGUAUAAGCACUAUGGAACAAGUAUCAAGGAACUAUUCGCUUGCAUGGCCGAGACCAGUGGCCAAUUUGGGUAUUUUGGUUCCAUUCUGAGCACUUUGGGAUUAAUUAACUUUAAGCCCGUGUAUUCUGUUUUAUUGUACAUUUUCCCCAAAUAAAUGCUUCAUGGGUCUAAUAUCAACUUGUAGAAAAAAAAAUAAACCAAGCCAAUUUUAGUUGUUUUAGAAUUAAAUUCAGUGUCGAAGUUGAUCUAAGAAAUAGAGUUAAGCCCUAUUUUGGUAUUAGAAUUUGAAUAGUGUAGUGCAUUCGUCUGGUCCAAUGGUGGUUUAGUCCCAUCGGCUUUUCAUAGGCUCAAUUGGGCACUCUCCCUUAAAAUAGGCUAGACUAGAAGUAGGUGUCGGAUAGACAAGUGCCGUUAACCAAAAAAAAUAAAAAUAAAAAUGGCUGAUUGUUGGAUGCAGGUACAAUUGCUUAGAGUUGCCAAAAUGAUUGACCUUUGUGUAGGAGGAGAUUUUACAAUACUAGAGGCAUUCAAUAUGCUUAAAAUGGGGCUUUUAUGCAGCCAAGCUAAUGCAAUUUUGAGGCCUGAUGAGGUUGUUUAGGUGCUCUGAGUUGUACCUAUGCAAUUGUUGAACCAAAUGAAUAGCCAGGGCAAGAUGUUGGUUUGCCUGCUGACAAUUCGACUGUGUUGUAAAGCUACUGGAGUGAAAUAGUUGACAAUAAAAUAGAGAAAUUUUUAGAAUUAGUUUAUAAGAAAAGGAAUGGGCAGAUUGUUUCAUAAAGAGGCUAAAGAGUGAAACGUACUUAGUGCAGAUGAAAAAACAUAGCUGUCAAUUAUUUUCUUACAUAAUUUUUAGAGAAAAAUGCAGUUUUAGUUCCGAUGUUUAGUUAGUAUGCCAAACUAGUCUAUAAUAUUUUGAUAAAAACAAAUGUAGUCUCGAAAAUUUCUAAUUUUGAGCAAAUUUAGGAUAAUUUAUCGAAAUUCAACCAUUCGUAGCGGUAAAUAUCAAAUUUCUAUUAGUCAAAUAUUUUGGCUUUUCAUUUUAGUUCCCAAAGUUUGAAAUUUCAGUCAUUAUAGCCCUUAAGUUUCAAAUGGUAUCUUCGGGGAUUUUAUGACGAAAUUGGACAUAAAAAGGGUUGAAAUUGUAUUAUACAUACUAAAUAUGUUGAUAUAAACUUGUCUUCUUCUUUUUAUUUCUUUUUUUUUAUUUAUACAUACUACUAAUUUAUAACAUAUUUCUUCUCUUUUACAUACUUGGUCAAAUUUGGCACAAUUCAUCUAAUCAUGUCUAAUUUUCAUUCAUGUUGAUAACUAAGCAAUCAAUUAAAUAUCCCUUUAAAAUGUUAAGUUGAUUGAACAGUAAAUUUUAUUUUUCUUUUUUUUGGCAUUUUAUUUGGUCAUCAAUUGAGUUUCAAAUGAAAUAGAUAUUUUAUAUGAUUGCAUAAAUUCAUAAUGAAAUUAUCUAUGUAUACAAACAUAGAUACAAACACUUUAAAAUUUUAAUAUGGAAAUAUUUGAUUUAAUAUGAAGGAAGUAUAAGAAUAAACAACAGGGUGGUUUGUCAAAAUUUCAUACAAGUUCUUCAUAUUAUUAAUUACCUUUACUUGUUAAUAUAAUAAUGAUUGAAAAUUAUAACAGUUUGAAACUUGCAUCCAACAAUCAAUUGACAAAUCUCUGAUCUCCAAUAGAGAAUCUACAUUUAUCCAACUCUUAACUCAAUCCUUAUAGUACUUAAAUUUUGAUAAAUCCAUCAUGAAAUUGCCUAAUAUUAUCAUAGUGAGCUUGGAUAUUGUGUUCUACGAUAGCAGCGUACUAAAUUAGUGAAUCAUAAUUUUGUAAAGUAUGAAGUUUCUGCACAUACUAGUUUGAAAGUUUCUCAAUAUCAAAUGUAACUAUUUUUAUUGCAAAUGGUUAUGGCAAUUCAUCUUAAAUGUUUCAUUGUUUGGUUGUUUGUAAUAAAAAAAAAAUCUAAAUAGUUAACACAAAUCACAAAAAAAAAAAAAAGGAAACACAAUAACAAAGGUUUUCCAUUGUUGCAGCCAUUUGUUCAUUUUGUUUUUCUCUGACUCAAAAUGAAAGUGGGAAAGUGUGGGGUUUUUAUGCGAGAGUGAUGAAUAUUGUAAAGGUUUAUAGUGUGAGAUCUUUUUCUUAAGAUUACAAAACAUAAUACGUAAGAUUACUCUUCAAAAAAUUUCUUUUGCUAUUUUCAUUUAAUUCUUAAAAGCUAUCCAAAGGAAUGUUUUGAUUUUUUUUUUUGAAUUAAAUUCCAAAAGCCAUCAAUAAAUGAAUUUUGAUCUGGUUCCAUUCAACAGGAAUUUUACAACAAAUAUUUCACGACAAAAAAAGUUCAAAUGGUAUAACUUUUGCUUCUAAUCCAUAGUCAUGCGUUGCCUCCUUCACAUUCAAAGAAGUGUCGUUAUCGCCUUUCUUUUUAUUUUAUUAUUUAUUUUUUACAUUGGGGACAAUGUAAGAUUUAGGUGUGGGGAAGGAGUUUGGACUGCUAGUUAGGCACUAAUUGUUCACUUUUUCUUUUCUUUUUGCUAGUAGUGUAUGGUGGUUAAGAUGAAUGUAUGCAAUCAAGAUGUGAGAAUGAAUAGCAAAUUUAUGCUAGUUGAGCAUUUUAUUUUUCUUGGCAAUGGAUUUUGACAAGGUGUCGGCCUGUGCAAUAAUAAAAACCUGCUCAAACUAGAAGUAAUUUCUGUAGAUAGUGGUAAGUAGGGUCGAAUCCACAGGGACUGGGUGUAAUUGCUUCUUUCCAAAUUCACAGUGACAAGAGGGGUAUUUUUAUAUCAGGGGUGAUAAUUUAAGCAAUUCAACUAAAAGUAAAAUAAUAAAAAUAAAACAGCCAACUAGAAAUUAAAUAAUAAUUUACCAAAAUCAAAUGAGUGAUAAUUAAGGAUCUAGCCAAGAAAUAACUUCAGCAAUGGUUCACCCAAUUGAUCAUCGAUGCACAAGCAAUUCUAAUUAUUUAUUAAUAAAUAGGUUAUAACUGCCAAACAAGCGAUGACAGUCAACCCCUUCUUACUGUGCCGGUGAUUAAGGUACGCCCGUUAACCACUACUCUAAUUGAGAAAUAACCUUAGGUACGCCCAUAAGAUUUAAUUCCCCAAUUGUCUUACAUAUUAGAGUAGCCCUAUUCUAACCAAAUAAUGCACUACCAGGGUUAUUUCAUAUUAGCCCGCGUAUCCCCCUGACACGAAUCUAAUCGUGCCAGUUGUCACUAUUUCAAGGUAAUUAAACAAUUACGGAUUUAAUACCUUAAUUGACAAUAGAUUAUCAAGUUAACUAAUUAUCCGGAUCCAAGACAAUCAAUUAAUUAAAUAAUCAUGAACACUGCAAUUAAGGGAUAUGCGAAUACCAAUAAAUAAAAGAAAAAGAUAAAAUUAAAUCAAUCUCACAAGUUUAGGCGAACCAAAGCCUCCGUUGCUCCUUGACUAGAGUGGAGAAAUUAGUUCAUGUUUAACGAGAACAAAACAUACGAAACUGAAGCAAAAGCUGCGGCCAUCUUCUGUGUUUGGGAGAAAAGCCACGGGAAAAUCAUUCAAUUGUCCCUAAUUGCUCCUGACAUCCCAGGAGACAAAAACUACUAAGAAGCCUCCAAGGAAAACAUUAAAAACUAAGCUUAGUAGUGCCCAAAAGAAAAGUCAAAGCUGAAACUACUAAGCAGUCCUGCCAUGCGUGAGAAAGAAAAACCAAAAGGAACACUAAGCUGAUGGAGAUAAUGAUCCCCCGCUACUCAAUCCAAUUCCUAUCUAAUUGUCUUCCUUUGUGCGGCGGCUCCCACGGAAAAGAAGACUUCGGCCAAAUGACCAAAAAGGGCUUGCGUCUCUUUGUUCUAAAAAUGCCCCUGCAAGCCUUCUAUUUGAAUUCUUUCCCGAUAACUGUCAAAUUAGCAUUGAUUGUGGUGUUUUCGAUCUACUCCCUGAAAUAACUGCAAAUUAUGAAAAGUGAGUAGAAUCCAAUAAUAAAUCCACAUCAGGUCAAGUAAUAGGGAAAAUUAAUAAUAAAAUAAAUGAUAAAAUCGCACCCUAUCAGAUUUGAAUGAUAAAUGUGUUGAAUUUGACAAAGUUUAACCACUUUGUGAGUUUGUUGGGUCUAUUAAUGAGCAUUUCAUUUGUGUUUGCUCUAAUUUCAUUUGUUGAGUGGUUGUGGCACAUGAUUUUGUCAUUCUAGAACUUGGUAUUAUGUGCAUAUCGUGUUGGAUCCUUAAUCCAACAUUGGACUUAUAUGUGAAUAAUUAUGUAUUGCAAACUGUCAAUUAAGGUUAAACCCAAUUAAAGUGAUCAAAUAUAGUUUGGGUUUAAUGUAUCUAAUAGGAUGUGGGCCCUUUAAUGUGUAGAAACUUAUGGGCUCCUAUUUUAAUGAUGGGCUGAAAUAGGGCUCCAAAAGGUAACAGGAAUGUUACUUAUAAAUAGGGUUAUGGUCCCCAGGUCACAGGUAUCAUUUUAGUUGUCGUACUUCCUAAUACCACAAAAUAUCUCUUCCCUGAUAUCUCAUCGUCGGGAAAGAUACUAGAGAGAAACUAAAGGCCUCUCUCAAAGGAUCGGUGAAUACCUGUUGACCUGGAAGACCACCCCAAAAUCUCUAGGGAUUCAAGUGUCAAAUUUAUCAAUAUGGAUUCAGGUACACUUCCGCUAUUUUUACAGUUAAUGUAUUUCUUAAUAAUCGCCAUACAAAUCUUGGGUUUAAAGGUGAUGGUUUUCACCAGUGGUUAAAUUUAGAUAACCACCCUAACAUAUCGAAAUCACAAUUUUGUUGAAUUUGAUGCAUGAAAGUGACAAGGGUACCUAGGAUUUAAUCCCUUUUGACUUUCUUAAAGGACUAGCCCCUCAUUUGUUUACCAUUAGUGAGACCAUUUGAGCCUUUAUCCCUUUUCUUUGUCUAAUAACCAAAAUUGUUGCCCCUAAGACCUUUUGUUUUGAUUUUUUUUCGAACAUUGUGUUAAAGGGAUGUCUAAAUUUGAUGGCAUGAAAGCUGGGUGUAUAGUUGCAAGGCAAUAGAGCAAGUGAGAUGGUCCACAAGUGUUUGAAUAUGCUGAGGAAUCAUGAAAAGUAAGAGAGAGAGAGAGAGAGAGAGAGAGAGUUGAAAAAAAAGAAAAAAAGAUGGAAAAGCACAAAAGAAAGAAAAUGGAGAGAUGCAAGCUUUUGUGCAUAAGUGUUGAAGUAAUAGAAGCAAAUUGCUGAAAAAUAUUUACAUUUAUCGAAAUUGAUGAAGGUGGAUGCUAAGCCUUGGAAGAUUGAAUUUGAGAAAUUUUCCUGUGAUGAAUUCUUGACAUUCCCUUGACAUGUUUAUGCCUCAAUUUACCUUUAUAUCCUGUCCUUUACCCCAGCCCCGUUAGAAUCUUAUAAAAGUCCUUUCGAUUCUUGUAUAGAAUUCACUUUUGAUGGUGAAAAUGUGAUAUAUGAACAAACUUAUGGUAAUAUCACUCCGUGGUGUGUAUUUGAAAGUUAUAUGAUACCCUAUACACUAUUGAGUGGCGAGUGUGCAUGUUCAAACCUUUGUAAGGUUUGUUGAGUUUGGUUCAUUCGAAUUUUGAAGAAAUUGUUGGAAGGGUAGGAUGUUUAUAUUAGUAUGAUAUGCUGUGAGUUACUUGCUAUCUUGAUUGUGUUUUUGCUGUGAGAUGCUUGAGAACAUGCAUAGUUUAGGUAUGGAGGAAGUUGAUAUGUUAUAUUUUUGUCAUAAAAUUCAUGAUUAUUUUUUCUUUAAUUUUGACCAAAUAUUGCAUUAAUUGGUAGAUUCUACUUAUAUUUGAUAAUCGUAUUGGUUGCAGGGAUCCGGAGCCAAAAAAGAUUAAAAACAUGGAUUUUACUAUAUUUUUGCGCAAUUCACCAAGGGCACGUCAAGGUCUAAUUCUGCAUGUCUGAAAACUCGGAAUUUGACACGUGAAUUCCAAUAUUAAAUUGAAGCUGUGGAAGUCCGUCUCUUCACCAAAUAAGUAGUCUCCUACUUCUAUUAGGACAUCGGUCUAGUUGGCCUAUCUCGACUUUUUGGAAAGAGUCCACUACCUAGUAGGAAUUUGAUUUCUUUGAUGAGAGAAACUUUUAGUGGAGAUAGGAAACAAAGUCCGGAAAAUUAGCAUCAUUAUAUGCUUGGAUUGUUUGUUUCCGUCGGAAAAUAUUGUCGUUUUCCGUGAUCACAUUUUUCUAUCACCUUUUUCCCUCACAUAUAUCAAAUCGCUACAGUAAUUUUUCCAUGAAAAAUGACGGAAAAUGCAAUCCAAACACAACCUAAAGAGUAACGGAGGGGAGACAUCUUUUUCUUUCAACCAAGAAACGAGGGGAGACAUCUUUUUCUUUUCUUUUCUUUUCUUUUUUAUCGUAUUUGUUGGGGAGAAUGGCAGCAAUAAAUUCAAUUAUUUUACGUGUGUCUUUUCCCUUAACAAUAAGCUAAAUUUUUUUUUUCCAAUCAAGGAGUAACGGAGGAUUUGGUUCAUUUAAAAAUGUGAUAUCGAAUUAAUUAUAUUCAUUUCUUUUUAUUUACUGAUAUUCGUAUGCUCUUUGAUUUAAUUUUUAUCGUUAUUUUGUUAUUUGAAUAUCAAAGGCCUAAUAUUUAAUUUAAUCUAAUAACCUAAAACCAUUUAGACCAGUUAAAUCCGUAAUUAUUUAAUUGUUUUAAAUUAGUGGUGGCUAGUUUGAUUAGGUUUGUAUCAGAGGAACAUAUAGGUUAACUUAAAAUAAUCCUCGUAGCUUGUUAUUUGAUUAGAAUGGAAUUUCUCUAAUUCUUAAAAUAAUUGGAAAAUUGAACUCUAGCAAUCGUAUCUAAGGCUAUUUCUUGAUUAAGAAAGUAAUUAACAGUCGUACCUUGAUCAGUGACACAAUUAGGAGAAAUUGUUUGUCAUCGCAUAUUUGACAGUCAUAACUUUUUUAUCAGUGAGUAAAUGAAAUUAUCAUUGCAUCAAUGAUCAAUUAAGCGAACCAUUUCCGAAGUUAUUUCUUGAUUGAAGUUUAUUUAUUAUUGAUUUAAUUUUAGCGAAGUGUUAUUUAGUUCUUUUUAUUGGAGUAAUUUAAUUAUUUUCAUUUUUAUAAAAUCCCCCAUACCUUAAAUUCUUAAAGAAACGAGUUAUCUCUAAUCCCUGUGGAUUUGACUCUACUCAUCCUAUACGCAAAAAUUUGUAUCUCAUUUGAAUAGGUUUUUCAUUAUUAUACAGGUUCGACACCUAUCAAAAUAGUCACAAUCCAUUCUUUCAGUAAUCAAGAAGAUGAUUUGUAACUGCAAAUAAUAAAGUAACAAUAAGAAUAAAACUAAAAAAAAAAAUACAAAGGCAAGAAGAUGCAAUUUGGAGGAAGUAACCACCGGGCGUCCAAUUCGUCCAGUAACGCCACUGAAAAAGGUUGAGAACUGCAAAGGAAGCAAUUACGGGGAAUCCAAUCUGUCCAACAGGUCUUUAUGGCGGCCUGUGAGAAGCACUGAUCCAAGAAAGUUACAUCGGAAAAUUGAACAAAGAACAAAAUAGUAAACACAUAACAAAGCCCUCUUUUGACUCUUCAAAAAUUUAACUCUAGACUACCAAGCACUUAAAAACAUUGACAAUUUCCCACUCAGCACGAAUCAUGCGGAAUAAAUUCUUUCCUUAUCUCUUCAAAUUAAUUUUACAAACUUUUCCACACCCGCUAAAGUAAUCAAGAAGUUGUCUGAUGAAAUGACGAAGUCCUGACCCCCUCUCAUUUCUUGGUUUCUUGUCUCAAUCACUUAAUUAACAAUAACAGAUUAACGAAAAGAAAAAAAAAGCGAAUUAAGAAAUACAUUUCAAGGAACUAGCCACCAAGGAUCUAAUGCCGAUGUAGACUUGGCCAAGAGGACUAAAUUAAUAUAGAGAGAUGAAAAGGAUCAAACCAUUGUGGUUGGCCCGAUGGAGUGAUUAAGAAAGGACCCUUACCGUUCUUUCUAUUAUUUAGAUUUAGCGAUCAAAGUCUGGGUUAGGCAGUUCAGCGUGAGAGGGCUGUGGGGAAGCUUGGGAGGUAAUAAAAAAAAUGAAAAAGAAUAAACUGAUAAAAUACAGUUUUAUACAUUAUCCUGGCAAUGUCUAAAACAUGUACUCACCCCUUUGAGUUUGGCGCAAUGCUUUUAUUUUGAGCUUCUUCUAUACGGUUUUUUUUUCCUUUGAUAUUUGUGGCUGAAACGUUGAAUCCUUCAAUUCGAAAACCCAAAUUAGAAAAUAGAUAUUAUCUUUAAUUUGUAAUUCCAAAUAUCUGAACACCAAAACACACCAUCUUAUGAGAUUUACUUGAUAAUCGAAAAAAUAAUAAUAUGGUAAAUUUAUCUACAGGGAUUACCAUACACUACUGCAAACUGUGCUUUCGUAUUGAAAGAUAUAGUACCAAAAACGAAAUAUUGCUAUUCGUUGACUAAUUAAUGAGAUGACCAAAUGAUCAACCACUUUCAUUUCUUUAUUCUUUAAGUACGUGAGAAGAAAGCAUUGCCUCUAUAUUAAUGCCUUAAUUAAUCAAGCGAUUUCCACUUGAAUAAUUGACUAAAAAAUUGGUCUGAAGAUGUCAUUAGCCAUUUUCACUUCAUUAUUUCAUUUCUUAAUUACUGUUUAUCGAUGGAAUCAAGAAGAUGCUUUCUGGUGUAAAUAAUAACAAAUUCAAAAAUAAAGAGACGCAAAUUAUGAUUUGGAGGAAGUUGUUGCGGGGCGUCCAAUCUGUCCACUCGCAUUGGUAGAUGGACACUUCAUUAUUCUUUGUUCUUGGCCUCUAUAGCGGUUUUCACAUUUGCCAGCGAUCCAGAAUAAGUCCCUACUUUUUUUUUUUUUUUGGGUUUUUGGCCUUUUAAAAAAAUGAGCAAUCAGACAGCCACUUUCAUUUCUUUAUUUUAAAUUGCACGAGAAGAUGCUUCAAGCAAAGGUGAAGCAACAUUGGCCGAUGAGCAUCUAAAGUCCAUGUGUAAUCACAUGGCAAGCCACAAGGGUUGUCCAUAUGUAAUUAUAUUGUACUUCUCUAAAUCAUUUGCAGUGAAUAACCUAACACGAGGGCGUGCAAACAAAAUGUCCAUUCUUCUAGUCUUGAGUCAUUCGCUAUUCUGCCUGCAUCAAAUCCAAUUUCAUGAUAAUGGCUCAUUAUUCUAAAAAAGAAAAAGAAGAAAUUCAUAAAAUUAAAAAAAAUGCUAGUACUAUUUUUCUUUCUUUUUUCUUGCAAAAACUGUUGUAAGAAGUUACCUAAAAUGGUGCAUGAACUCAAUUUGACGACUUGAUCGGUGCCUUUCACCUUAGUACCUAACUUUUAACUUUUCCAUAAAGUCAGCUAUCCUAAACAAGUCCUUGAUUGCAGUUACAUUUUCAUGCAUUAGUAUAUGUGAGUUAAACAGUUUCAAGUUUUGGUUUCUUUCGGGGUACAACUUAUUUGAAUGCUAUUAACUACAGCAAACUUGUAUUUAACAGUAGUAAAUUGGUAGCGCCCAUGUUGAUGUCACAGUUUGACUUUCAAGUUAGCAAUUUAUUGGAUGUUUCAGGCUUGUAAUAAUGUCGACGUCCAAUGAUGUUUAACCUACUAGUAUUAAACGUUUCAUAUUCAUUCAAAUAUUUGCUGCGUUUAAGUAAGCUAUUUUAUCGCAUAUGCAUGACUUCAAACCUUCUCAUUCACUGCUCUUUCUAUAUUUAGCCUUUGUUGUUUUGAUCUGGACUUGUUUUAGUCAAGGUGAUUUUAUUUUCUCAUAAUUUUUUUAUCACACAUAUUAUAUUACCGAAGGUACUACAAUAUUCAUCUAAAUAAAUUUUCAGUUUCUAAUUUACACUUCCGAAGUAAGGGGUUGGGGGGUUGAAGGAGAGGAGAGAAGGGGAUGAAAUUAAUUAAAGAUGACGCUAGAAAAAACUGAUGCAGACAACAUCCAAUUUCAUUGUUUUUUGUAGAUAAAACACAUUAAAGAAUUGAUGUGACCAAGAGAACCUUCUUGUUAUUUUAACCUGGCAAUAGGGAAGCUGAAGAUUUCCACUUCCAUAAUUACAUCCAAUUUGAGAAUUGAAAGCUAUCAUCAUUCAAUAUUGCAAGUGGAGAACCCUCUUAAACCGACCUUCUUCACGAUCUAUCUGCUGACCCACCCAGCCCUUGUUUUCCCUUUUGUCUUCUUUUAUAAGGAGAGGUGCUCGUAAUUUAUAGUGUGUCGUACUGACUUGCUUUGGUUUAUUGCACCCAAGCCAUGUUGUAUUAUAAUAGUUCAGACCUUUUCUUCACAGCUAAUUUUAUUCCUAGAGAACAAAAAAAAAAAAGAAGUGCUGCCUACCACUAGUCACUUCUCCUUGAGGACUUGGGAGGUGGAGUUGGGAACUUUUGGGGGGUUGACAUGGAAGUGGUGGAAACUUGAAGCUUGGAGUGCAAAAGAAAGAAAGAAAAAAUUAGAUUGGUGAGAGUAUAAAAGAGUUAGCGGGAAAUCAUUAUUCGUCAUUUUACCAAAUUGAAAUUUCUCGAUCUUUUCUUCUUCCCUUUCUCCUAGCAAAAACCCUUGCUUUCUUCGUUCUUUUCAUUCUCUCACAAACGAUCACACUUGGGAAAUCAAGCUCAAGCAAGUGCUUCUCAAGAGCUAGGAGACCUUCCUCUAUCUCUUAAUCAAGGUAACUAUUGCAUCUUUUAAGUUUUCUUUAUUUGAUUUGAUUUGGUUUUGGGUAUAGAUGUAAGCUAAGCUUUGGUUUCGAGUGGACCUUGUGGUAGAGAUCCUUGUAUAUGUAGUUUUUAAAUUUAGAGUUUAGAGACUAAAUUAAGAAUCAUGGUAUAGUUAAAAGAUUAAAGUAUCCUAAUUUAGAAUUUAAGAACCGAAGUGUCAUGUGCGGUUAUCACACUGCUUCCAGGCCCUUAAUCUGGUAUACCACCGCUCUUUGUUGAGGUUUGCUUAUUUUAUUGAGCAACAUAUAAAUCAAGUGGUAAUUGAAGUCACUGACUCACACAAUUGUAAUUUCAUUCGAAUGCAGAGAUCAGAGAUAGUCUUUUUUUUUUUUUUUUUUGGAAAAACAAGAUAAAACCAAGCAAGUUCCAGCGAAGUGCAUCCAAUUGCUGUGGAAAUACAUUAUUUGAUCUGUAUUAUGAAGAAAAUUUAAGCGUUCACUUGUCCAAGAAUUCACUUGUUAGAGGAAAUAUCCAAAAGAACCCAUUAAAAAGGCCCAAUACAUAAGUCAAAAAUCCCAUCUUGACACAAAAAUUUAAAUUGUUAAGCUCUAGCCCUUACAUAUUAAGUGACCUUUUUUUUUUCCAUUUCUGAAACUAAUGUGAGAUACAAUUCUCUAUUUAUAAACCUAACAUUUUUUACGGAAAAAAAGCACCUUUUAUAAUUAAUAAAGAGGAUUACCUAAUAAUUGAGAUUAAAAAAUGAUCAAUCAGAAAACUACUUUCAUUUCUUUAUUUCUUGAAGAUGCUUCAAGCAAAGAAGAAGCUCUGUUACCCGGUGAGUAUUGAAAGUCGAUGGUAAUCACAUGGCAAGUCACCAGGGCAGACGAGUGACGGAGGACACUUUUCUACCGGACAUAAAAAAGAAGUUCUAACUAAUGUCUUAUUCAAAACCUACAACCAAAUUUGCAGAAUAAGAAAUAAUUAAUAAGCCACUAAAUUACCCAUUACUAAAUACGAAAAUUGAUAAAAGAUUGAGUCCAAUAAAAUCACUAGACAAGUAGAUGGAAACUCUUAAGCUUGGUUUUAGUUUACCAACAAGAUUUACAUAAUUCAUUCUCAGUUAGUUUCUUAAUUACUGAAGUAACCAAGAAGUACUUGCUUCACGAGAUGAAGAAGUCGCUGUCCAUUUGUCAUUUCCUUGUUAACGUCUAGCCUUAGUUACCUUAGUAAUAAAGAAGAAUUUUCAUUAUGUAAAGUAAUGACAAGUGGUGAAAAAAAAGAGCAAAUUAUGAAGAUGCAUUUUCGAGGAAGCAGCCACCGGGCAUCUUAUUACGAAUACGCGACCAAGUUGAAAGGUCACGCUUUUAUUUAUUUAAUUUUUUUUGGAGUACGGUCACGCUUUUAUUUGUUUUAUGAUCAGAUAAUAUCUAAAACAUAAUAUAUAGUGGAGUACUAGUAAACGGAAUUUCUUAAAUUAACUAAAGGCCGUCAGCAUGAAAAAAAAAAAAGAAGAAUGGCCGUCAGCGUCACAAGCCAUUGACCAAAACUAGUAUCAUGCAGUUUUAAAACCAAUGUUUUAAAACUCGGACAGUUAAUUAAACUGGUGAAAUGUUCGGAUUAAGGUUCAAUCUGUCGGACCGGUUCAACCCUAGUUCAAUGAAUUUUUAAAAAAUUAAUUUAUAUAUAUAUAUGCACAAAAUAAGAUAUGCUAUGGACUAAUUUAAAACUUUAUAUGAUGUAAAGUUUAUUAUUUUUGAAUAACUUAAAUUUUCAAAAAUAAAUUUUAAAUUAUAAGUUGAAACAAAUAAAUUUCAUUUCAAUUUCAAUUAUAUCUACCAAAAAAUAAUUUUAAAUCCAACCGAAAAAUACCACAAUAUUUUAAAAUUAUACAAAAUUCGCGUCUAUGAGAAUUUAGACAUUGUGAACUUAAAUUUUAAUUUACGUUUUUGAAAUUUAGAGAUUGCAAUUUUAAAAAGGAAGUUUGGAGUUUGAAAGAAGUUAAGAGAAUUGAAAAUAAAAAUGCAAACUUGAUAAGAAAAAAAAAAGAGAUAAAAGUGAGUGGUUGUGGCAUUAAAUAAUUAGUCUUUAGGGUUAAAGAAAAAUAAUUCUUUUUUUAACUUUUUUCAAUUUAUGGACAAAAAACAAAAUUAAAAGAUGAAAAAAAACAUCAAUAAAUUAAAACUAAAGAGGUUUGAUUAAAAAAGAAGUGACAAAAGAAAAGAGGAGAGAGAGAGAUAGAGAGAGAGAGAGAGUUGCAGAUUAAAAAGAAAGAGUCAUAAGAGAAUGAAAUUUUAUAAGAAAAAUGGAGAAAAGAAAGAUGGAUGUUUGUUUUAUAUAAAUAAGUUAUCAAAAAAGACUAAUAAGAUGUGAUUGUAUGAUGGUUUCUACAUUGGUUUUCUAUUAUAAAAGUCUUGAGUUUGAACCUUGGUAGCUGCAUUUUGCAAACCUUUAAAAAAAAAAAAAGAGGGGAAAUUUGAAAACCGAAAACCGCUGACCAAUUUUCUUUAGAUUUUUUAAAAUUUGUUUAAUUAUGUACUAACUAAUAUGAGAAUUGUUUAUGAGAAUGAUUUAUACAUUAAGCGAGUGCUUUUCUUUUUUAUUUAAUUACAUAAACCAAAUUAUAGAUAUUGUUUCUAAGAAUGAUUUUUAAGUUAUGCUGAAAUGUUUAUUUUUAAAUUGAUAUGCUGAAAUUUUAAUGCUAUAGGGUCAAUAACUGAACCUACGCUAAUAGCUCGGUAGUGUCAAGAUCUAAAGCGGUAACCUUCUUUGGACCCAAAUCAUCAUGGUAUUGGACCACUAUCUUCCUGCCACUGGGGGAAAGGGCAAAAAAAAGCACAAAUCGCAAAACACAAUUUUCAUAGGACGUAAGAAGUAAUAAUUUUGACUCAAAAUUCUUUUCAUACACUACUGUUUGAUUGAAACUGUCAUUAACACACCAUGUACUAAAUAGUCUAGAAGACGUGAUUAAAAUGAUUCGGUAAUUCUAACUUUCCUCCCAAGUUCAUAGACAGAGCACGCCUGUCGUUUGAAGAUUCAAAGUUGCGUACAUAGUUCAUAAUUUCUGCCGGCGCAAACACAGAUUAUUACGUAUACACAAAGGAAUUACCAACAAAUAGUGAAAAUUGGGACCAAACUUUUGUAAUUUGAAAACUUCGGGGGCCAAAAUGCAGCAUCGUUUAUAAGGGACUCAAUAAGUAUAAAUUCCAAAUGUUAUGGACCCAUUGUGAUAUAGAUAUCACACAUUUGCAUGUGGUAUCAAUCAUAUACAACUAAAGUUUGAAGGGUAAAGUUUUGUCUAUACAGUCACCAUUCAUCAGUACCUUAACACUCCCAUCAUGAGGCGGUUCAUUUCAAGAAUAGCAUUUCCCACAAGAAGGGAGUUAUUAUUGGGAUCAAAAUGCCAUCUCUUCUCGUUGCCCCGCCAACCGAGAAGAAACCAUAUUGCUGAUGGUUCUGCAGGAACUACCAAACCAGCGCUGUUUGGCUGCAAAUGUGCAUCGAAAGGGUAUAAUGAACAUUUCAUGAACAGGCAGAGUAAUGGCCAUGUCUAUACUUUUCCAAGUUCUGGCAUUGCUGGCUCAAGAAGGUAUGUAUGUAAACUUCUUUCUUUCUUUCUUCAUUACUCUUUAGAAUACGUAGUAUUGACUUCUUCUUUUUUUUUUGGUUGUCCAUGACUAUUGGAGGGAAGUUUUUUCAAUUUCUUUUUAUUAUAGACAAGGGGAAAGACAAAUAGGGAAAACGAAAAAGAAAACAAAAAUAACUAGAAAGGACAGAAGAAACUCCUUUGCUAAAACUAAAUGAGUGUCAAUUUUAGGCUGUGAUUAUAGGAAUAUUUUUUGAAAAGGGUCCAUGAGGAGAAGUUCUUGAAUUAAAGGGCUUCAUCUUCGAGAUACAUGUAAUUGUAGAUAGGAAAAUAUACAUUUUCUUUUUUGGUAUGCUCAAAAGUAAAUUUUGCCCUAGAAUUAGUAGAGAGGACCUUUCAUCAUUUCACGGUAAUGACAUAGCAAAAAUUUCAUGUUUUGAGUUUUGUUCUUGUUUAUGAUAUUAUGGAAUAGUUCUAAAAGUCCCAAAAAUUCAUCACAAUAACGUGAAGUUAUUGAAACUCUAGCUAAUUAUGUUUUUCUAGUCCAAAAGCAAUAAUUAUUCGUGAAUUUGAUAAUACUCUUAUUCAUAUUGCUUUCUUUUUAUUGUCAUUGGCAGGAAAAUUAAGACUUUCUCAAUUUAUAGGGGAGUAAUUCAUUUACUACAACGUACUAGUAUAAUACUAUAAUUUGAAAUUUAUUACUCAAAAGCAGAAUUGCUAAUUAAACAGCCCCAGACGAGCUGAUCUUAACUAUGAAAAACAAACAAUAAAGUUUAUUUUUCCAUUAAAUUUAAAAUUUUAAUUUUAUGAUAAUUUUAUCCUCUUUUGUAAUGGCUAAAAAUUCUUCUAAACAUGUCCCUGCAGCAUUCAUUUGAGUGUCGAUCAGAAAACUGCAUAUAUGGGCAUAGAAAUUAUCUCCAAGGAAGAAAUCAAGCCAGCAUCUCCAACUCCCCCUGAGUUGAGAACUUUUAGGUUUUCAAUCUUGGAUCAGCUUACUCGGGACUCUUAUACAAAUAUAUUGUUCUUUUUCUUCCCAAGAAAACAACAAGGCACUUAUCUCAACGAUGUUAUUUCCCAAAGAAGUCGAUGUCUAAAGGAAUCACUAUCAAAAACCUUAGUACCCUUCUAUCCACUAGCAGGAAAAAUAAAAAAUAAUUUGCAUAUUGAGUGUAAUGAUGAUGGAGUUUACUACGUCGAAACUCAAACCAAUAUUGGACUGUUAGAUUUUCUGAGGAAGCCUGAAAAUGAGUUCAUGAAUCAGCUAUGUCCAUUUCAUCCAGAUUCCACGGAAUUAUUGUCAAAAAGUUAUCCUAUCAUGGUUCAAGUAAACAUUUUUUACUGUGGUGGUAUUGCCAUUUGCUUGAGUGCUUCCCACAAGAUUUUUGAUGGUCUCUCAGUUUCUACAUUUAUGCAAUCUUGGGCAGCUACAGCACGCGAAUCAACGGUACAAAUAAAUCCCAGUUUUAUUUCAUCUUCCUUAUUUCCUCCUAUUUUGGAUAUGUACCAAGAUUCACCUCCUGUGGUCUCCAAACCACAAAAGAACGAGCCUAAAUAUGCUACAAGCAGAUUUGUGUUCGAUAGCUCAGCCUUGGCUGCGCUUAAAUCCAAGGCAGCUACAUCAACAUCUUCCGCGAAACCAAGUUCAGCCAAGGCUGUUAUGGGACUUCUAUGGAAAUCUGCCAUAGCAGCUUGGAAAGUGAGGUCUGUUUUGUUUAUCCCGGUGAAUCUGAGGACAAAAGUUUCGCCCCCUUUAUCACCUCAUUCACUGGGAAAUAUCGUCUGGUUGGCUCGUGCUAAAUGUUGUGACAAUUCUAAGCUAGAGCUGGAAUUGCUGAUAAACAAGAUCUCAAAUUCCAUUGGUACAAUGAACGCUGAUUUUGUUGAAUCUAUAAAUGGUGAGAAUGGGAUUCAGAAGCUGAUGGGAGCCUUAAAAGAUUUCCAUGAAGUGUUCUAUGACCCUAAUAGUAUGGCUGAAUGUAUCUAUAUCAGCAGCAUCCGCAAGACUGGUUUUUAUGAGGCUGAUUUUGGAUGGGGAAAGCCCAUAUGGACAUGCAUUGCGCGUGGAAACAGGGAUUUACACGGAUUGGGAAAUAUUGCUCAUCUGAUCGAAACAAAAUCUGGUGAUGGGAUUGAAGCAUUGGUGACCAUGAAAGAAGAGUACAUGGCUACACUGGAGAAAAAUCAGGAGCUUCUCCAUUAUGCUUCUUUAAAUCCUAGCCCUCUUGAUUCAAGCUAGCUUUUCAGCAUGUUUUGUCUGGCUAUGUUUCAAAUCCUACAAAGCAAUUGUGAAGGUUGGAUUGUUAUCAAAAGAAAGUUGUAGGAACAGAAAACCAUGAAUUUGUGUAUUAUUCCCCAUUAGUUUGUUGACUUACUUUUGAAAAGAAAAAAAUAACACCUGAUAUGAUUGGGAGUUUGGCAGACCCUGUUUGUGUAUAAACAAAGAAAAACUUUGGGGAACUUAAGGCCUUAGUUCUGAAUUAUGUGCCAUUAGUGCAGUGGCAGAUGGUUUUCUGAAAGAGAGUGGCUCAAGUCAUGUGGUUCCUGACCCCAAAAACAAUAACAAAUCUACCGUUGUACCUUUAUUUCUUGCUAUGGAGCACCUCCAUGACCCCAUGAUCAUGAUUUUUCUGGGGCUGAAAGUGGGGUAAAUUUAACGCCAUACGAGUCUGCGGUAGUUCCUAGAGAUAAUAUCAAAAACUUCUCUUGAAGUUUAUCACUUAGCACUCUUAGAUCGUGUUUGUAUUGUAACUUUUUGAAAUUUUUGUAAAAAAUAUACUGUAACAAUUUAAUAUAUAUAAGAUAAAAAGAUGUUUGAAAAAUGUGUUCAUGUAAAACGUAAAAAUUUUUGAUGAAAAAUUCCUUUUCAAACAAGGCCUUAAAAUUGCUAUUCAUUGACUAAUUAAUGACAUGACAAAAUGAUCAACCACUUUCAUUUCUUUAUUCUUUAAGUGCGUGAGAAGAAAGCAUUGCCUCUAUAUUAAUGCCUUAAUUAAUCAAGCGAUUUCCACACGAAUAAUUGACUAAAAAAUUGGUCUGAAGAUGUCAUUAGCCAUUUUCACUUCAUUAUUUCAUUUCUUAAUUACUGUUUAUCGAUGGAAUCAAGAAGAUGCUUUCUGGUGCAAAUAAUAACAAAUUCAAAAAAAAAGAGACGCAAAUUAUGCAAUUUGGAGGAAGUUGUUGCGGGGCGUCCAAUCUGUCCACUCGCAUUGGUAGAUGGACACUUUAUUAUUCUUUGUUCUUGGCCUCUAUAGCGGUUUCCAAUAAGUCCCUACUUUUUCUCUUUUUUGGUUUUUGGCCUUGAAAAAAAUGAGCAAUCAGACAACCACUUUCAUUUCUUUAUUUUUAAAUUGCACGAGAAGAUGCCUCAAGCAAAGGUGAAGGAGAGUGAAGGAGAGCACUUUUCUACUGUUAAUAAUUUUAUUCCUAGAGAGCAUAAAAAACAAGUACUGCCUACCACUAGUCACUGCUACUUGAGGACUUGGGGGGCUUACAUGGAAGUGAUGGAAACUUGAAGCUUGGAGUGCAAAAGAAAGAAAGAAAUUUUCUUAUUAGUUUGGUGGGAGUAUAAAAGAGUUAGCGGGAAAUCAUUAUUCGUGAUUUUACCGAAUUGAAAUUUUCUCGAUCUUUUCUUCUUCCAUUUCUCCUAGCAAAAACCCUUGCUUUGUUCGUUCUUUUCAUUCUCUCACAAACGAUCACACUUGGGAAAUCAAGCUCAAGUAAGUGCUUCGCAAGAGCUAGGAGAUCUUCCUUUAUCUCUUAAUCAAGGUAACUCUUGCAUCUUUUGAGUUUUCUUUAUUUGAUUUGAUUUGGUUUUGGGUUUAGAUGUAAGCUAAGCUGCUAAGCUUUGGUUUCGAGUGGACCUUUUGGUAGAGGUCCUUAUAUAUGUGGUAGUUUGGGUGAUUGUGGUGAUUUCUUGAUUGAGGGAUAAGCGUUAAAGUUUUGGAUGUUUGGUGAUGUUUUGGGUUGGUUUGUACUUUGGUUAUAUGUUGUGUUGGGUUGGAAAUAGGUAGAGCGGUGAAAAAGGAAGUAAAACUAAUUAGUAUCACAUUUGCCAUCGAUCUAAAACAAGCCAUUAAUUGAUGAAAAUUAGUAUCAUGGAUUCAUCUUAAUGUAGUACUAUUAAAUGGAAUUUUUUGAGUUACUAAAAUUGCAGCAAAGUGAAGGGAAUUCAAGCAAAAAGCAUCCAAUAGCUGUGGUACAAAUAAAUGAUUAAGUGAAUAAUUAACUGAUAGUCGAUGAGAAGCUGUCCUCACUUCUUUAUUUUUCGUCUUAAUUACUAUAAUAAUAAUAAUAAUUAAGAAGUGGCUUGAUGGGAUGAAAAUGUCACAGCCCAUUUCUUUGUUUCUUGUCUCAGUUCCUUCAGUAAUCAAGAAGAUGAUUUGUAAAUGCAAAUAAUUAAGUAACAAUUAUAAAAAAAAAAGAAAAAAAAAAAGAAGCAAGAAGAUGCAAUUUGGAGGAAGUAGCCACUGCGCUUUGAUCAUGACAGAUGCUUAUCAAGAUGACUCAUUUAAACUAGAAAAUUUUGAAAAAAAAAAAGUAAAGUGAUACAUCAUCUCUUUUUCUUUUUUUUUUUUUUUUUUUUUUGGGUGUUGCUUUCUUGACCAAGAAAUAUCUAAAUCAUAUCUUACCUACUUAAUAAAAAAAAUAAAAAGAUAAUAAAAAAAUGUGUCCUACCUGCAAUUAUACUUUAUCACCCUUUUUUUUUAAUGCCAAUUAGUGAUAAGAUAUCAUUAACAAUUAUUCAGCCACUUUCAUUUCUUUAUUUCUUAUCCACUCGAGAAGAUGCUUCAAGCAUAAAAGAAGAAAUUCCUCUAAAUUAUUGCCUUAAUCAAGAGGGUGCAUCUGCGAGGAAAAAGUCUUACAUCAUCCAAUUCCAAAGAUGAGUUUGCUUUUUUCAACAUCAUUGAAUCUACGAAUGAAAAAGGAACCAAACCAUAAUACUUCUUAAUCACCUCAAAACGCAAUCUUUCUACUAUUAAAGUUUUUAGCCCUACCCACUACUAGAUAGAAUAUUUAAACACUAAUUAGUCUCACAACAAAAGAUUGCUCUCACGUCCUGUCUAGCUUGAUCAGAUUGAAGGAUGAGAUUCAUUAUAUGUUGUCUUAAACGUCACAUUGUUGGAAAACAGACUGGCUUAGGUGAUGUUUGAAUUGUAGUUUUCUAUUAAAAAUUUCUCAUAUUUUUAAUGAAUAUAUGUCUUAAUCACCUUUUAUUUUACAUAUAUUAAAUCAUUACGGUAUAUUUUUCUACAGAAACUAUAAAAAAUAAAAUACAAACGGGACCUUUUAUUCUCAACCAUAAACCCCGCGGGAAAAAAAAGGAAAAAGAAGGUGUUUAAGCAUGAUUUUUGCCGAAUUUGUAAAGGAUGAUUCUGAUAACAUAUAGAAGCUGGAUCAACCAAUGAUUAAUAGUCACGGAGAAAAGGAAAAAUCAAUCACUAAUAUAUAAUCAACCAAGGAUUUUAAGUUUUGAUAGGGUGGCACGUCAAUGAUUCAAAUCUUGGCUUCCUAUUAUAUGUGAUUUUUUCUAAAUGUAUACGGAUGCGUAACGCACCUAUCUAAUCCGAUUUGCUGGUUAUUCAGUCCCCAUCAACAUUUUAGGUCCUUUUGGACUUCUCAUUCCUUCCUAAAGUAGGUUAGAGUAGGAGUCGAUUGUGUUAGGUAUUGAAAAAAAUCAAUAAUAUAUAAGUCACGGAGUUGAAUAUCAACUUUUCAGUACAGGUACCAAUAAUAUGUUGCCUUCAUCAUUUUCAGCUAAAGUCUGUUUCGUUUUGGGACCUUGAUGAAUCCGACAAGUAUUAUGAAGAAUUUUUAAAAAUCCGACAAGCAUUAGAUAGAAUUUUCUAAACAACCGUUCUAUCUAAACAAUUAAUGACCAACACCGUUGAUCUUCCUCCUAUGGAGGAAGAAGAGUAGAGAGAAAGUUAAGGGUAGAGAGAUAGGGGAUAGAGAAGGUUGAGGGAAAAGAGAAAACAGCCCCUACGGCGACAAGAUUUUCGUCUAAGCUUUCAUACACCUAUUCUUUAUCAAAUCAUGCAACAUAUAUUUAUUUGCGAACCAAAUCUUGUAACAAAUAUUACAACCGGUUGACACAUUAAAACCGUACUUAGCCAUAUUUCUAGAUUACUCUGGCCAAUAUAAUCAUAGAUACGGAUUGGUUACAUGAGGAUAGGGUCAAUUUUAAUACAGAAAGUGGAAGACUGGUGGAUGAGUUUUGGAGUGUCAACUAUCAUUUACCUUGUAGUUCUGAAUAAUGGCAUAUAGAUUGUUUAUACAGUUAAGCACAUUCAACUAAAGCGUCUCAAUUUAGAACUUAGAGACAGAAUUUAAAGUUUAAAGACUAAAUUAAGAAUCAUGCUACAAUUAAUGGAUUAAAGUAUGCUAAUUUAGAAUUUAAGAGCUAAGUUUCAUGUGCGGUUAUCACACUGCUUACAGUCCCUUAAUCUGCUAUACCACCACUCUUUGUUGAGGUUUGCUUAUUUUGUUAAGCAACGUAUAAAUCUAGUGGUAAUUGAAGUCACUGGCUUAUACAAUUGUUAAGUUCUGACUUUUACAUAUUAAGUGUUUUUUUUUUCCAUUUCUAGAACUAAACGAGCAUGUUUCGAGCUCGAGCUCGACUCGUUAACCAAAAUUAACGAGCCGAGCUCGAGCCUUAACGAGCCGAGCUCUAACGAGCUUUCGAGCUACUUGAUUAACUUAACAGCUCUAAGUACAAUCACACUUUUAUUUGUUUUAUGAUCAGGUUACUAUACACUGGAGUACUAGUAAAGGCCGUCAGUGUCACAAGCCAUUGACCAAAACUAGUAUCAUGUAUUUUUAAAACUAAAGGUACCUUGGCUGUGUCUUGCACAGCCCGAGUCCGCUAAUAGCUUAAUUGAACAUAUAGCAACAUAUUUUUUUGGUAUAUAAUAAAUAGAAAUAUAGGAAAAAAAUUAAGUAUCAAAACAAUUAAAUUUUGCUAUAAAGAAAAAUUCCAUCUAUGAAAUUGGCCACCUCCCCCUCCACGGAUUUUAUAAGAAAUAAAUUAGCUCCUAAUUAUUGUGAUUUGGACAAAGAAUUUUGAGCCUAUAUUACGUGACAUGAUGAUAUAAAAAAAUGGAGAGAGAGUAAAUAAACUAUGAAUGUACUACUAAUUCAAUAGCAACAUAGCUUUAAUUGUAAUUAAAUCAAAAGUAGUCAAUUGAAUCUCCAAUUUCUCUUAAGCGAAAGUGAAGAAUCAUAUUAUAAUUAAGGGAAGUAGGUAAAAAAGAAUCUAUCAAAUCCAUCACUAAUCUUGAGGUUAAUGAAGGAAGGCAAUAAAGCAAGUGCACAGUUAAGUACAAUUGGGAAGAAAGAAAGCUGAUUUUCUAUGCAACUUUGAGAAAUGAUUUAUAGCACAAGAAGAAAAGAGACAUUAAUCAGUCAUAUAAAGGAGCUGUUUAAAUAUAAGUGUUGGGUGAGCUAUUAAUGAAACAUAAUUAAUCAAUAUCCAAGGACUAAAAGUUUUUCAUUAAUUUGUAAAAUUUGAUACUAUAGUUAUAAACUAGACAAUAGUACAUAAAAGCAGUAGAAGUCCAUAUGAUUAAACAAAAUGACCUCUAGUGAAAAUCUUCGGUCUUGACCCAUAUAGUAGAUCUUCAGCCUUUACCCAUCAAGGUAGAAGUGAGAAAAUAAAAAAGCGGAAAAAAUCACAACGUUUCUCAAAGGAGAGUUGUGCCACGUGUUAAAAAAUUGGUGUGAUACAGUAAACUCCCAUAUCUUCUUAUAUAAUAGGUACAAAACUCGUUCGCCUCAGAAAGGACAACAUAAGGGCCAAACUUGUUUAGCUUGGCAUGAACAAAGGGACAAAAAAAAAAAAAGAUAUUCAAGGGGUAAGAAAUAUUAGAAUCAUGUCACUUGUGAAACUAUUAGAAAGUCAUGUGACAAGAAAGGAGGCAAAGAACUAUAUCCUCCUUUCUUCUUAUAUACGGAAAUUGGGUUUCACAGGUUCCAUUUCGCACAAGUUGGAGUAAAUUAACAAAUUAGUCUCAAUUUAUACCAAAUUCUCCUUAUCUUACACUAAAUGAUAAUAAUCGAUUUAUAACAAAGUGUACCUGAUUUACACCAAAUAAUAACAAAUUACCAUACACUGAACUACACCUGAUUUAUAUUAAACUGAACCUAAUUCAUACUGAAAUCCUACUAAUUUAUACUAAAGUCAACUUUGUGCGAAAUUUUACAAAAUACAAAUUGUGAGGACCUAGACCCUAUGCUUAUAUACAAGGUAGACUAGAGCGGCAACGGGAUGGGCUCUCUCCCAUCGCAUGCUAUAGAAGUCUUGGAUUUGGAUCCUCUCCAGUGAAUUGUCUCUCCAUUUCCCACAAUGUACAUUUGGAUAGAUGACAUGUGCCUCCAUUUACUAGAAAAGAAUAAGAUCAUUUUAAGUUUAACUAAUUCUAAUCCUUGAUAAUAAAUUAAGACACAUGUCAUGCAUUAAAAUGUAUAUUGUGAGAAAUGAAGAGAGAAUUCACUGGAGAGAAAUCAAGUCCUAGAAGUCCUACCACCUCUUUUAGAUUUAUUUUAAAUGACUAAAGGGCUCUGUCUAUGGGUGCAAAUGAGUUGAGCCGAGUAGAGUUUUAGUCUAAUCAAGCCAUACUUCAACCUAGAUUUAUGAAACUCGAGCUCGACGAGCUCAAAAUGUAAAGCUCGAGUAAAAAAAUAAAAAAAUUACUAUUUUUCUAAAAUUGAAUAAAAUAAUAAUUUUUCUUAAUAAAUAAUAAAAUAUUAAGGAUAUAUAUGUAAUUUUACUAUUAAAAUAAAAAUAAAAAAUAUAUAUAUAUAUAUAUAUAUAAUCAAGUUCGAGCUAGCUUGCGAGUUAACGAACUUAAUAUUUUCGAUAUCGAAACGAACUUAGUAUUUUUAAUAUCGAAUUCGAGCUCGAGUUCGAUUUGAUUAGGUCGAACUCGAGUCGAGUUCGGACUCGCGCCACUCGCGAUCGGCUCGAGUCAUUUGCACCCAUAGCUCCACCAUUGACCCAUUUUCGAGGAAUAAAUUAACAAGAGAGAUAAAAUAGAAUAAAUUGAUUAAUGAGGGCGGCACUUCAGAUCUAGGUCUCCAGUUGUGACUUGUGAGCCUUUAAUGAGUUAACUCUUUUGAGUUUUGCAUACUUUUACGAUAAAAUUAUUUUGAAGGUUGCGGACUAAAAAUUCAAGGUUGCGGAAAAUUUAAAAGAUUUAAUUAUCAACAGUUCUACAACUUGGACAAAGAAUCUCAAGAUUUCAUUAUUUAACGAAAACAAGUAAUUUGAGAUCACAAGCCUCACUAUCAAGACACUAAGGUGACCAUCCGCUAGACACUAAGCAAAUUAAGUGGUUUAAAAAGAGGGGUCUGUUUUUGUUUAUUGAUUUGCUAUAUAAACUUUUUGGUCCCAUUAAUUUUCGCUACCUUAAUUCCCUAAUUGAGGAACUGUCUUAUAAAAGUUUCACCACCUACUCAGAUUACUACAAUUUAUGAGUUCCAAUUUUCUUUUCAUCCGACCACAGUGGUUUAAUUUCUUCCACAACUAAGGCCCCCAUCAGUGACUAAAUCAGAUUGCGCUAAAAUUAUUUUGAGGUGACCCCACGCAAUUUGAUUAAUCACAAUUAUACUAAUCUGAAUCUCUCUUAUACAUCAGCCCACUGGAAUCGUUUAAUCAUCUCUCUCUUGUUCUGACUGGCUUCUAUUCUGAUUUCUGCCAUUUGUUGCUGAAACAUUCCUUCCAUCUCUUCUAUCAGAAAACCUUUCGAUCCUAGUUCCAAUUCCAAGCAAGAAACAAUGGCUGACGCUGCUAUCAGUGCUACUGUUAAGGUCGUCUUGGAGACGGUCAUUUCCAUUGCCACGGACCGUGUUGGUAUGGUUCUCGGGGUCAAAGCAGAGUUGGAGAGACUAAGCAACACUGCUGCAACGAUCCGAGGUCUCUUGGCUGAUGCUGACGGGAAAAUGCAUAGCCCAGGGGUGCGAGAUUGGCUCAAGAAGCUAGAGGAUGAGGUUUUUAAAGCUGAUACCGUGCUGGACGAGCUCAACUACGACAAUCUUCGUCGGGAGGUGAAGUACCGAAAUCAACUCACCAAGAAGAAGGUAUGCUUCUUCUUCUCCUUCUUUAAUGCAAUUGGCUUUAGUUCCAGCUUGGCUUCAAAGAUCCGGGACAUCAACACCAACCUAGAAAGGAUCAACCAGCAAGCCAAUGACUUGGGAUUGGUAAUCAAGUACCAAAUUGAAGCUGCACUCCCUGCUGAUGCCGCUGGUGCCACGACAAGCAGACAGACCGACUCUAUCAUUGUUCCAAACGUUGUAGGAAGAUCCGGCGACGAGUCAAAGAUAGUGGAGAUGCUAUUGACCCCAUCUGAAAGAGUUGUCUCAGUUAUUCCCAUAACAGGCAUGGGUGGCCUGGGUAAAACAACUCUUGCUAAAUCAGUCUACAACAAAAUAGAAAUUGAUGAGAAUUUUGGCAUAAAGAGUUGGGUUUGUGUGGCUAGAAAAAUUGAUAUAGUGGAGCUGUUUAAAUUGAUUUUAAAAUCGUUGACAAGAACAAAGGUUGAAGUGGAUGACAGAGAGGUUAUCGUUAAAAAAAUUGGAGAAAAGCUCAAGGGACAAAGAUAUUUCCUUGUUCUUGAUGAUGUGUGGGAUCAUGAUCAAGGAUUGUGGGAUGACUAUUUCAACACUUUGAUGGGACUCAACGAAACCAAAGGAAGCUGGUGUCUUCUCACUACUCGUCGAGAAUCAGUGGCUAAUGCUGUGCCUAGACAUUUGCAAAUGAAUGAUGGUCCUUAUUCCUUAGGAAAGCUAUCAGGUGAUGAGUGUUGGUCCAUCAUAAAAAGAAAGGUGCUCGCAGGGGAAGAAGUACCAAAAGAAUUGGAAGUAUUGAAGAAGCAAAUUUUAAGGAGAUGCGAUGGCCUCCCACUAGCAGCAAAGUUAAUUGGAGGUUUGUUGCUUAACAGUGGAAAAGAGGAGUGGCAAUCUAUUGUGGAAGAGGGUCUCAUUGUGGAAGAGAGUCUUUUGAAUGAAUAUCAAAGCCAAAUUAAUCAAAUACUUAAGGUGAGCUUUGAUCAUUUAUCACCUGCAUCAGUUAAGAAAUGUUUUGCAUAUUGCUCGAUUUUUCCCCAGGACAAUGAAUUAGAAGAAGAUGAACUAAUUGAGCAUUGGGUUGCCGAAGGUUUUGUUCUACCGGAUCAGAAAAAUAAUAGAGUGAUGGAGGAAACAGGAGGCGAGUAUUUGAGGAUUUUGUUGCAAAAUUCCUUGCUGGAAAAAGUCGCAGAGUCGCAGAGAACAUACUAUAAAAUGCACGAUCUCGUCCAUGAUUUUGCAAAACCAAUUCUUAAUCCAGAAAGCAGCAAUCAGGAUCGCUACCUUGUAUUGGACUCUUCUAAAGGUUUGGAAGAAAAUACCAUGAGGACAAUACCAGCAUCAAUUCGCACAUUAUUUCUCCAUCUAAAGGGUGGCGUAUCUACUGACAUGCUUUUAAGAUUCAAGCACUUGCAUGUUCUCAGAUUGUCUGGCGAUGAUGUCGAGUCUCUACCGAGCUCCAUUGGCAAACUACUACAUUUGCGGUUGCUCGACAUUUCAUCUUCUAGAAUCAGAAGUUUGCCGGAAUCUCUUUGCAAGCUAUAUAAUCUGCAGACACUAACAAUGAGAGAUUAUGCACUUGAAGGAGGUUUUCCAAAACGGAUGAGCGAUUUGAUUAGCUUGCGGCAUCUAAACUACGACCAUGCUGAUGCGGAAUUUAAAAUGCCGGUGCAGAUGGGGACGAUUGACUUGUCUUCAAACUCUACAGUUCUUUAAUAUAAGUCAAGAGAGGGGUCGUGGUAUCGAAGAGCUUGGGACCUUGAAAUAUCUGAAAGGAUCGUUGGAGAUAAGAAAUCUUGGACUAGUGAAGGGCAAAGAAGCAGCUAAACAAGCAAAAUUGUUCGAAAAGCCAGAUCUGUCCUGCUUGGUGUUUGAAUGGGA
rnacentral:lncRNA from 1 species